rnacentral:lncRNA from 1 species
AAAUUCUGCCUUCUGGACUUGUUGCAAUCGAUGCAAAUGGCACCGUGGGAGUAUUUUUUGGUUCAAACUGAUGCGUGAGUAUGUUGUGCGAGGGAAUCACGUAUUUUUGCAUUAGUUUUAGUACGAAUUUACGGUUUUGAUGCAUUCUGGACUUGCUUCUCUUCACUUCUAGGUUGGCUGGCUACGUUGUACAAAUGUUGUUUAAAUGUUGUUUAAAUGUUGGUAUUUUGUCAUAAACCGUUUUAUAUAUAAAUGUACUGCAUUUAUUCUAUAGCGGAAUUAUUACUUACAUCAUAGACGGCUAGAAAUGACAUUUUACUGACACAGAUAUUUUGCUCACCGACCCCAAUCUUCAUAUUUGGUAAACGAAAAGUCAUGCAUGGAGUAAAUAGGUAUCUUUUCACCAGUGCUUGGGAAUGACAUUUUCCCACUUAGCAUAUCCGAAAGGAUUUGGUUACACGUUUCUUAACCUAGGGGGUUGAACAGUGAAUGACGUAGAAUAAUUUUUUUGUGUGGAAGGAGUACAAUGGAUGACUUGUAUAUUUCCAUAUUAUGUUUCAAAACAUCCCUUCAACCUAAAAAAUAAAAAAAUUAACAAAUUGAAGAACAGAGAAACCGAUGAGCACUACAAAUGGCCUAUUCGCACGGAAAAUAAAAUUGUUUUCAACAAGUUGGACUAAAUAUAAUUAACAAAUGGACAGCCUAAAAAGUAAUAUCAUAAUAAUUAUAAUAAUUGUGGAUAAAUAAUAAUAAAAUACUAAUGUAGCAUAACCAUGAAACAGGGAAUUCAGUAGGAAGAUGAAAUCGCAAUAAGUUCGUAGAAAUUUUUGGAUCGUUUUUCUAAUUUUUGUGUAUUUAGUUCUGAAUUUUCCAAGAAAAAAAAUAAUAAAAUAAUAAUUUACGGUAAAAUGGGAGGAUGUGGCCAUGUUCAGUAACGUACACUUGUGCAAGUAGUCAAAAGUGACGGGCUGAGAUCACGUCAGGUGUCAUCUUCUUUUCAAUUUUGGAUUCUUUUGUUAAAAAAUCUUUGAAACUAGGUAAUAAAUAGUAGGAAAAUCCUAAAAAUGGCCCAAAAAUUACUCCGGCCUCCUUGUGACGUCAUAAAACUAGGAGAACCUAUAAAUCAUUCGUCUCGCAAUGAAAUAAUCCAAAUUAUUUUACAUAACUCACUUUCCUCUUAACCCUAAGUAUUGAUGUUUGUUAACUUAUACUUCAAUAACCUACUUCAACAAGCAUCUCCCGUUAAUGUUUGGAAUUAUUUUUAAAAAUGCGUAACAAUGAAUCGGAAGAAUUCAGCAAGGGAGAUGGAGUGUCAAUGAGUUCGUAGCAAUUUUCGGAAAGAAUUUUGAAUUUUUCUGUAUUUAGUUCUGAAUUUUCCAAGAAAAAAGGUAAUAAAAUAAUCAUUUAUGGUAAAAUGGGAGGAUGUGGCCAUGUUGACUGACGUACACUUGUGCAAGUAGUCAAAAGUGACGGGCUGAGAUCGCGCCAGGUGUCAUCUUCUUUUCAAUUUUGGAUUCUUUUGUUAAAAAAUCUUUGAAACUAGGUAAUAAAUAGUAGGAAAAUCCUAAAAAUGGCCCAAAAAUUACUCCGGCCUCCUUGUGACGUCAUAAAACUAGGAGAACCUAUAAAUCAUUCGUCUCGCAAUGAAAUAAUCUAAAUUGUUUUACAUAACUCACUUUCCUCUUAACCCUAAGUAUUGAUGUUUGUUAACUUAAACUUCAAUAACCUACUUCAACAAGCAUCUUCCGUUAAUGUUCGGAAUUAUUUUUAAAAAUGCGUAACAAUGAAUCGGAAAAUUCAGCAAGGGAGAUGGAGUGUCAAUGAGUUCGUAGCAAUUUUCGGAAAGAAUUUUGAAUUUUUCUGUAUUUAGUUCUGAAUUUUCCAAGAAAAAAGGUAAUAAAAUAAUCAUUUAGGGUAAAAUAGGAGGAUGUGGCCAUGUUGACUGACGUACACUUGUGCAAGUAGUCAAAAGUGACGGGCUGAGGUCGCGCCAGGUGUCCUCUUGCUAUUAUUUUGGCUUUUUUAGUGCAACAAUCUGUGGAAAUAGGUAAUAAAUUAUACGAAAAUCCAAAAAAUGCCCGGAAAAUGAGAAAAUCAAAAUUAUUUGUACAUAACUCACUUUCCUCUUAACCCUAAUUCACGUUAACACGUAUAUUUUGGAUAAUAUUCGAUAUAUAAUUUGUAAUAAUACAAUAUUUAGUUUGACUAAAUACAAUAAUAUGUUUUGUUAUAAUAAUGUACAUCCAUAAUAAUUGCACAUGCUUUGAAGCCAUCAUUGCAACUACGCCUAGAGCUUUCAAGACGUCAGUUCGUAUUCAAUAAGUUGUCCACAUGCAACUGCACCUAGAGUUAUUAACACGUCAGAAGUAUUCAAUAAGUUGUCCAUAUGACGCCGCAUUGGGAAUCAGUAAUAUAUUUUCAAUCAUGUCCAAUCACAUUAAAUAAUGCCAUACUUUUUCUCAAUAACCUCACACAAGUGAAGCAAUUUUAAAACCCUUAGUUAAUAUUUGUCCUACUCUAUAUGAGUGAUUAUAUAAUCAGUCUGCAUUUUUUUGCACAGUAUAUGUUAACUUUGAGAGGGAUUCCAGAAACAUAAAAUAUAAAGAAAGCAAGAAAUAGUGGGAGAUGAACCAGUACAAAAAACAAUAUAUAAAUGGUACAUAAUAAUUCCAUAACCUUGUCACAAACGCACUCACAAAAGCUUUUCCAUAAACCUUGUCCUAACAUAUAAUAAAUAAAGGCAACAUUGCAUAUGAUGCAACCAUGUCCAAAUCUGAUACGUGAUCAACAAAAAAUGGACAUGUCAGCAACAUAUGACUGAAGUAGAUGGGCUCUUUGCAUCUUGUGUUUUCGUAAUUAAAGACAUCAAAAUAUUAAGGUUUAAAUCUUCCAUAGUAGUUAGCAUCAAAAUAGCUUUGAAGCAGAGUGUAACGAAAAUUCCAAUUCCACUGAUUUGCCUCUGCUCAAACAAGAGAACCAAAAUGGUUACUUCCCUUGCUGAGUAUAUUUGGUGACGUCGGAAACGGUAAUAGAUGACCAAUCAAACCCGGGUACGACGAGUUUUGCAUAGGAUCGGAAGUAGUCGAAUCCAGCUUGCAUCACACGCUUCUUUGACUCCACUGCAUUAGAUGAGUUCUUGUAUUUUUGAACAGCUACACUCCGAAGUCGUUUGUGUCUACGCUUCAUGCGCUGCAACUUCGCCCUAUCCAGAUUGGCCUGCCUUUUGUCAUCUUCAAUUUGGCCUUCAACAAAUUCCAAACGUGCCCUUGCCCUUUGGAUUUCAUCACCAAGUUGAAGAUGCCUCUCCUUCCAAAAAGCAACAACUCUUUCAGACUCAAAACUUCCAACAAAAUGGUCAUUCUGUCUAGGAAUGUGACAUUGCUUGUCUGGUGACUCACUUGCGUGUCGAAGGCGGUCUUUGUUUGGAGGGGUGUUUAUUACGCUCACAUCAAACUUGGUUAGUAAAUCCAUUCUUUGGGGGGAAUGAGUUUGUUUGCUUGAGAGAGUAUCAGUAGAUGGAGACAGAUUCGGUGGAGGAGUGAGUUUUGUGUGGAAGGAGAAUUUAUAUGAAAGGGGUGAUAGUAAUACCAAGAAAAGGGUUCCCGCCAAAAAAUAUUUGGUUGACAAUGUAGAAAUUAAUUUUUGGUCUGAUACAAUCUAAGUUUAAUCCUAACUAGUUUGGUUGAGUUAACUAAGUAGAUGUCACUUCCAUUGAGUUUCUUUCAACCACUAUCAGUGGUGUAAGGAGAGUGUGAGGUUGACAUGCUUGAAAAGCAAAAGCUGACACCUAUUUUUAAAAAUUGAAAUCAUCCAAAAAGUACAUAUGUUGACUACACACAAGCUUUGGUAUGUUGGUCUAUAAACCUAUGUUCCCUUUCUCAAACGAAAUUGCAUAUGCAAUCCUCAUCCUCCCAAAACAAAGAGGAUUAUUCGAGCAUGUCAACCUCUUCAGGCGCCAACAACACAAUCGAAGAUGACAAAUUGGAGUCGCAGGUUCUAUUUCCACAUUGUACUCGCCGACCCCUUCCUUUUUCAACAUCAUUUGGGAGUGAGGGGGACUCCGAUGAUCCAUUAGAGGCAAUACAUGCAGUCAGUGGCAAGCUAGAUUAUAAUUCUAGACUGAUCAAUUCAUGGCACCAGAAAUGUGUUGAAGACGAGGCAAUUUUGACUGAUCUUAACAUUAGAGUGAACAAAGCGUUCUCCCAAAAGAACAAGUACUUGAAGCUGAGUCAUAAAAGGAAGCUGAAAGUUGAGGAGUUGGAUACAGUAAUGAAUGAUGAAAUGAAAGGUUGUUUGAUGAACCAUAUGCGAUGCGAAGAGCACCAUAGUGAACUGGAGUUGGCAUUCAACGAAGGAUUCGACAAAUUUCGAGCAUUUGCGGCAACUACUCAUACAAGUUAUGAUUGGAACUAUGUGUCCCCUGAUGCUGUGAGAGAGAUACUAGACGAUGGGGGUGACAUGAAUGAGCAUAAGCACGUCAAAGCUGCUCGGAAGAAGCCGACCGAUACGACUAAGUGAUUGCGGCUACCGCUGUUCAGUUGGUUGAGGGUGACCGUGGUAUUGCACAUAUACUCCCUUAAUGUCAUUAUCUAAUUUAAAAUAACACAAAUAUCAGUUUCAUUUGCUUCAUAUGUAAUUAUUGGGACUAUGUAUUGCAAGUCAUCAUGUGUUAUAAUGUCUAACAUUAUAUUUUGCAAAUAUGAAAAUAGUAUUCAAUAAGCAGUCAAUAUCACAGCAAGUCGGGAAUCAGUAAAUGCUCCUUAUCACGUCCAUUUACAUUAAAGAGCUGGCGUACUAAUGUGUUCAAAAAAAACUGACACGUGAGUCAUAAGUAACAUAACAUGUGCUAUACAUUGUUUAGUGAAUGGUUUUUGGUUUAUUUAUAUAUAAUAAAAUUCCAAAUAUUGCUGAAGAUUUAUUUCGUCUAUAUCACCAGGGAUAUGAGUGGCCAUAAGCAUGUGACACCUGCUAAGAAGAAGCUGACCAGUACGACCGAGUGAUUGUGGCUACCGUUGUUCAGUUGGUUGGGGAGAUCGUGGUAUUGCUAAGAGGGAGCACAUAAUAUGUUUUGCAAUCAAAUGUUCUUUUGUGUGUGGAUUUAUGAGUAUUUAUGUAAGUUAGUGUACCCUUUAAUAUUUUUCACCUAAGUACCGAAAUGUAAUUAGCUGCAAUGUUAUGUUUCUUUUUUACACGCUGCUUUCUAUUUGCUCUGUUCCAACAAAGUGCUUCAAGUAUCCUUCAGUUACAAAAGUGUACAAAAUCGUGCCCCUAAUAACCAGUCGGAAAAAGUGGCUACUGCUGGAAAUGAUUACUGGUAAUGGAAACAACAGCUGGCUGCUGGAAAUGCUGCAUUAGCCUGAGGAUUUGAAAAAUGAAUCUCUGUUAAAACAUAAUUCACCCUAAACUGCCCAUUUUACAUGGUAAAAGUCAUUGCUUCUUCACAUAACUACAAAUUUCAUACUUGAUCAAAUGUCUAUGAAAAUUUAUAAAUAGGGAGAAGACGUAAAAUUAACAUGUCUCCAAAUUUCAUGGAAGAAUGAAACCAAGCAAAUUUUCAUUUCAAUUACCAGUGGACAUAGUAAGAGCUCAUCGGUGGACAUGAACAAAAACACAAUAAUAUUCAAAAACUGAAUCUAUAAAACUUCACCUGAUCAUUAAUCUUCAUAACAACCACAUUUCGUCUAAUACAAAUAUAAAUCAUUCAGUUGGUCCGUGCAUCCUGUCAAAAUCGUCGAAUAAUGGGUCACUACGAUGUAUUGGAGUUGAUUCGUCAUUGUUCGACGGUGAUGUCCUACAUAAACAUCAAACACAAGCACAUAAAAAUUUUACCUAUUCAAAUUUUAGAUGUUAUUACAAAUAGUAUAGCAUCUUACGGUGUGUUCAAGGCUGGGCAUUGUCUUCUAUCAUGACCAAUGCGUCCACACUCCCGACAGUGUCUAAUCCCUCGCUUCAUUGCCUUUUCCUUUGCUCCCGUUACUCCUUUCGAUCUUCCUUUGCACCUCACUCUCUUAGGGUCUUUCAUAUAUUGUGUUUGAGAGCUGGACCCUCCAACUUCGUUAUUACUUGGUCCAUCCUUCAGCAACUUCAACUUCACCUGCAAACUUUUUAGAGUCUCUGACAGUAGCUCACAUCCUUCUUCACUCAUUACUGCAUCCUCAACCACAUGUGAAGCAAGUCGAGACAUUGUACUCCACUUUAUUAGAAGGCCAGGAUCUGCACAGUCUUUAAUUUCGUUGCCAUUUGCAUCUGACACCAAUCCAGAUUUUGCAGUUUUCUUCCACCUCUUCAAAAUAUAUUUAUCGGGCAUAUAUUCAAUCUGGUCCCUUCUGAACAAUGCUAGGAUGUGCUUGCAAAUAAUUCCAACAAAUUCAAAUCUUUUGCAGCUACACGAUGCGUGGUCAGAAUCUUUGACAUAUACGACUUCUGCCACUCUUGUUUCCUAAUUUUUCCUUUCGCUCACGUUAAAGACAACUUUACAAGCAUCCUCUGUUUUGAGCUCUAGGAAACAUGCUGUACUUUGUAUUAGUUCUUGCUCAAACUUUUGAAACAUUGUCCUUGUGUACAAGGUAGCCAUUUGUUUGUUCAUUGGCAUCGGUAGAAGACAUUGAGCCACUUCAAAUGCAUCUACGUGAUCAGCAACUAACUCUUUUUCACGUUGAUGAGAAAGUGCCCUCUCAAAUCGUAUUAUGAAAUCCAUCAACGAAUUUCUCCUUGAUAUGUAUUGCUUGAAAAAACCAUGAGAACCUUCCGCUUUUUGGCUGCUUGACAUUCCAGCGGCAAAAAAUUGUCGUGCGUAGGCUGGAACCCAAGAUUCCCUUAAAUCAAACAUUGAACUUAGCCAUGGAUGGUCAGUCAAACCAGCCUUUGUAACCACAAUAUUCCAUUUUGCAUCAAACUCAUCCUUAUUGUCAGUAUCCCAUAUGGCUUUCUGAAAUUCACUCCAAUACUCCUUAUAAGCGUCACGUGGUAACUUAACAGAGAACUUUGAUGUGAUGUGCCAUAUGCAAAGUCGAUGAAAUGUAGUCGGGAAGGCUAUUGAAAUCGCUAUGGCCAUUGCCGCAUCUUGAUAUGUAAUGAUCGUUUUAGGUUACCCACCUGGCAUGGCUUUUUUAAACUCCUCAAACAUCCAAACAAACGACUCAGUCGUUUCCUUGCUCAAAAAUGCGCAUGCUAAGACAAUUGUCUGACCAUGGUUAUUAAUUCCCAACAUUGGUGCAAAUGUCAAGUCAUAUCGAUUCGUGUUGAAUGUGGUAUCGAAUACAACAACAUCUCCAUAAAACCCAUACGCCCGUCUAGAAGUUGCAUCUGCCCAAAAACAUCGACUAAACCUGUCAUGCCCAUCUCCCUCAAUCUUGAAAUAAAAAGCCUCAUUUUUUUUCUGUUCAGCCAUAAAAUACUCGGUCACUAGUUCAACAUCGUGGUUCCUCAACUUCCCAUUCACACUACAUUCAAGAUUGUAGAUAUCUUUUUUGAUAAAACCGAUUUUAUCCAUUCCUCCGGAUUGCACCUCGAAAAUACUUACCUUCUGAUGAAUGGGAAUAUUAACUGAACCCAACUGUUUUGUGAGUACUUUUGUAGAAUCUGAAAUAUGACGGUGUGAUCUCAAUAAAUGCAUUCUUUCUGAGGGUGUCAUCUUAUGAUUGUGUCCCUCUGCAAAAAGAGAUAUGGUAUACUUCUUGCUCCCAUUUGUCUUCACAACCACAAUCUUAGCUUUGCAAUUGCAUCUACUUAUUCCCCAUUGUCUUUUUCUCUCCCGAGUUUCAUCCUUCCUAUAUGCACCUUGUUUGCAACAUACAAAUUCUUUCCUCAAAAUCUCUUUCUUAUUUUUCCCCCAAAAGCUAGAAUGAAGUCGAAUACCAAAGCCAGCAAAGAAUGCAUAUCUAUUAUAGAAACUGUAAACGAGGUCAAGCGAGUCAAACUUCAUCCCAACUGCUGGUGUUUCCUCAUUUCUUACUUCAGGAAUAUAAACCCUCCCAUUAGCUGUUGCACAUUCAUCACUCUCUGAGCCCCCAUACAUUUUAUCUACGUAUAUUAUUGAUCCACUUCUAUAUUGCUGCAUAGCAAUUAUUCAUUCAUUAAUCAGUCAUUACUGCAUCACAACAUAUCAAUGCAUUCCACUUACACAAAAUAUUGCCCAAAUUGACACAAAAUACGCAUAGCCUAACUUCUGAUUACACAAAACGCAAGCAAAAUUUCAUAAAUGUUACGUCAUCUCUUGUGAAAUAAUCUGGUAAAAAUAACAUUAGAACCAACAUGUUCAACUAAGAACACAAAUGUAAUUCAAACCACCAAUUACAGAACUUCACCCAAUAUCCUCUCCAACUGCUUACUCCUAAUGUCAUUAAGCCUAAGUUUAGGUUCUUUUACCUACAUUUCAUAAUUUUCCACCCCGACCAACAAUAAUGAACUAAGUAUAUUGAAUAUUCAUAAGGAAAUGACACAUUAUUGAUUCCAAAAAUGACGCAUUAUUGAUGCCACAAAUGACGAAUUUCCCACCCUCACAAAAAAUAAACCUAACCCAAUAAAAUCAAUCCAGCAAGUGAACUUACCUCUCAAAAUCAAUCGGGAGCUCUGCAGUCAGUCAGCUUGAAAGAAUGUGGUGGACAUUAGAGAAGACUCUUUGGUAUUUGAGACUCCAUCUCUACGAAAAUCGAGGAACAACUGUUGCUGCGGCUUCUAGCUACAAAAAGAGAUAUGCUACUUUGCUUUCAUCUGGAAUCUUGUCAGCUGAAUGAAAAAGAGAAGGGGUUUUCACUUGAGCCAUAGAAUCAAAACAGGGCAACAGCUAGGUAAGAGCCAUUCUUCGUAAUACCCAGGAUACCAUAGAUCGCAGGCCUCCCAAAGAGCUAAUGACAAUCGAGUGACUAUAAGGUUUGGGAGAUUUGGAUCCUUCUAAUUGUGGGUUUGCUUUACAUUCAAAAAGAGAGGAUUGUGUUCUUCAGUUUUUCACAGAGAGGGAAAGAGGGGAACAACUGAAGUUGGGUUUCUAACGGGUUAGAUUUCAACCCGAUUCUACAUGCACCCUCUUUUAAAAACUCACCGUUGGAUGAAAUCCAACGGCUCUUACAUACCCCUCAAAAACACCCCUUAUAACUUUCCACUCACUAUAGAAGCCCUCAUCAAUUAUUAGAUGUACGUUGUCUUUUUUUGAUUGGCCCUAAACUUUUUAUAUAUAUAUAUUGUUGGCGGGUACUUAUUUAGUUAGGAUUUUGGUUCCUUAUUUUAUUAGAAUUUUAGUUACUUACCAAUUAUUAUUUAGUCCUAUAGUAAUAGAGAUUUACUUCCUAUUGUAAUUUAGAUAUAUUUCCUACUUUAUUUAGGGUUAACACAUCUUUGUACUUGUAUAAAUACCUCUAUAUUAGAGAAGAAUAAUAAUAUGAGUGAAUCUGAGCAUAAUUGAAUAUUUGCCCUACUUUGUUUGACAUGGUAUGAGAGCCAGGUUCCUAACCUGUGAUAAACUCUGCCAAAUUGAGAAUAUAUAUAUAUAUAUAUAUGAAGGUGAUUUUCCCACUCUCAUUUUCUUCACUUACACUCCCUUUUUCUUUUUAAUACUUUUUAAUCAAUCUUAUUCUUUUUUGUUCUUUCUUUUUUCUACUCUACCCUCCUAUAUUAAUGUUUUGAUUACAUAAAUGAACAAAAGUUAAAUAAAACCCCCCCCCCAAAAAAAAAAACCCAAGCCCACCUAUUAAUCUCGACACCAUUCCCAUCCCAAGCAAUCACCAACCCCACCCCCACCCCAAAACCCAGCUGCACCGACCAACCUCCCCUAUCCAUUUAACCCCUCUCUCUCUCUCUCUCUCUCCAAAACUUAUCAAGACACUCCAUCCCCCUCCUCCUUCAACGAACCCAGCUGUUGUGUUACUCACAAUUGUACAUGCCAAUUAAUAGUAUAACAAGACAAGUACGAGGUGGUACCCACGAGGAUUGAGAAGUUUAGAUUAAUUAUGUACUUAGAUUACCAAAUUCUAGAAACAAGAAGUUAAGGCUAAAACAGAUUUUAAAGUGAGAUUGAGUUUGGAAACAAAUGAAACAAAAUGAAAUUGGAAUUUGAAGUGAGAGUGGUUGUGAUCGUGAAAACAAAUGAACAAAAUAAAAUUGCAAAUGAAAGCAAGUAAACAAGUGUAACAAAGAGUGGUCUUAAGGGUUGGGAAAUGGAUUUGGAGACUUAGGCAUUCGAUUCAGCAUAACAAUCCAAUUCUAGGUUAUAAGGAUUCAAGUGACAAGUCUAUUUCAGAUUCAAAGAUUGAUUCUAACUAAAGUAUGAUUAAGCCAUGGUGUCUAGUCCUAACCUUGUAUUCCUAAUUCCUUAAAUAGAUCCUUGUUGUCGAACCUAAAUUAAGCAUGAGAAAUCCAUUAAGCAUAGAAGAAUGUUUUAAACAACCAAGCAUGUAUCUAAUCCCAGUUGUCGAAUGUCCAUACAUACUCUUCCUAUUCAUAGUUCAAUUAGAAUUAAGGCAUAUGGUGUCUACUCUUAAUUUCAACCAAGAUACACAAAUCUGAAUGAUAGCUAGGCAUUCCGAUUAGCAAAUAGGCAGGUAAGCAUAAUGAAUAAGAUGUUGGAAUUUUAAAAGGUUUUAAAAUUUAACCGUUUUUAUUUAUUUAAUUAUUUUGGCUGUUUUAUUUUAUUUAUUGUGGGGGUUAUACACAUUUAAUUUUCAGAUAUUAUUUCUAUAUUGUAUGCCUUAAUUUUCUGGUUGGCUUUUUAUCACAAACAUCCCUGACGUUUGCGAAACUAUUAGAUUGCAUCCUUAAAGUUUUUUUGUAUCACUCAUGGUCCCUAACGUUAAUGUAGGUGCUCUUAAAUAGUCCAUCUGUCAAAAAAAACUGUUAAAUCCAAGGAUAUAAUCGUCCAAUCAAUCCAAAAUUAUAAUAUAUAUAUAUAUAUUAUUUCCUUCCCUUCUCUCUUUCUUCCUCUCUUUUUUUCAAUUAAUUUUUCAUCAGAGUUUUCUGGGUCAAGAUACUUAUUUAAAUUAGGCUUCUGGGAAUUCACUAGGCUCGACGUCGUUUUCGACUGCGAUGUUGGUGAGCAGUGAGCAGUUUCGACGGCGUCGACCUUUGCCCCAACCUCCGUAGCCUUAUUUCGUAUCGAAGCGGCCGACAUGUUGUGUAGCUGCUGGCCGUCUUCUUGGAACACAAGUUUUGGGAAGUUGAGGCGCGUAUAAGGGCAUCUAAGGUAACCGGCGUAUAAGGGCAAACGGUGGUUUCAUAUGCUCGGGUGGCGGCAACCGGCGUCGUGUAAGAACCAAGCCAAAUUCGAGACCUCUUGUUAGGUUCUCUAAUCUCAGCCACCCACUUCCCCUCCUUCCUCAUCCUUAUCCCUCUAUAUUGCUUUUCUUGAUGACGAUGAUCAUGGUUGCCUCCUACUUGUUGUUGUUGUUGCUGGUUUUGCCUCUGCUUGCCCUUCUCUAUGCUUGUUGUUGUGGUUGUUGAAGACGAUGAAGAUGAAGAACAGCAAUACUCUCCUUCCAUCCCGAGAAAAGUUAGAAGCUACCUAAUAUUAAUCAAAACCCUUUUAAUCUGCUGCUGUUCUUGUUGUUGUGGUUGCUUUAGAAACUAAAUAAUCCCAAAACACAAAAACGAAAAGGGGAAUGCUAGCAACCUUCUUUCUAACCUUCUCAUUUGGACCUUCUCCCUUCUUUGCUUAACAUGUGUCAUUCUUCUUACACAUAAAAUAAUGCCAUUAAUAUAUUAUACAAGCUAAAUUUUGCUUUUCAAGUUUACCCUUAUUAAAUGUAUUUAAUUUAUCCAAAAAAAAAUUCACAACUUUCUUACCAUUUUAUUAUUAUUAUUUUUUUAAUGUCAGCUAUUUUUUUUUUAAAGAAAUGUCUGUUUUUUUUUUUUUAAAGAAGUAAUGUUCUUUUUUUUUUUUUUAACACAAAGGGUUUGAUUGCAUUUCUUAUACUACUAAAUAAACAAAAAUAUCCCCCAAAUCUGAGUAGAAACAAAAUAACACAUUUUAAUAUUAGCAACGGUUACAAAACACCAAAUAGUGAAAUCUUUAUAUAAUAUUAAAGUCUUCCCAAAAAAAUUUCAGAGAGUCUAGUAGUAGCAGAAACAAAAGAUGAUUAAUCUUCCCAGACUUCACUUCACUUCUCUUGUUCAAAAGUAUAAGACUUCACUACUCAUCUUCCCAGACUUCAGAUGCAAAUCUUCUCUAAUAUGUAUCAACUGUUCCUAUUACCACAAAAUUCAAUUGGUCAAACAAGCAUAAACAAAGUUCUUAUAAAUAAAUAAAAAGUUCUUAUAACAAUACCAUCUUGUGUAGCUUGACCAGCAAAAUAUUCAUCGUGUCUGAGGUCCACAAAUUAUAAGUUCCCUGUUACAUAUAGUAGAUAUGCACCUUAAUUAAUACAAAUAUAUUAGCUUCAAGGGCAAAGAGAAGAUGUUUUAGCUUCAAGGGCAAAUAUGAAAAUAUAAUUUUUGGUUUUUCUAUAAUUAAUAGCAUUGUGUUAUGUGUAAGGAGAGUGACACGUGUCAAACAAAGAAGGGAGAAAGUCCAAAGGAGACGGUUAGAGAGAAGGUUGCUAGCAUUCCCCAAAGAAAAAACCCAAAUGAAAAUAAUCAAAAAACACUUGCAAUUCCUGACAGCAUAGGUUAUAUUAUAUUCACAGGGAGAGAAAUAAGAAGAAGAAAGAAAGAGUGAAGGGAAGGAAAUAAAAUAUAUAUAUAUAUUUUAUAAUUUUGGAUUGAUUUGACGGUUAUAUCCCUGUAUUUAACAAUUUUUUUAACAGAGAGACUAUUUAAGAGCACAUAUAUUAACAUUAGGGACCAUGAGUGAUACAAAAAAACUUUAAGGAUGCAAUCUGAUAGUUUCGCAAACGUCAAGGACGUUUUGUGAUAAAAAGCAUUUUCUUGUUUAAUGUGGUGAAGGUUACAUAUUCUUGGAUGCUUAUAAAAGGCCAAUUCCCCUUCACAUUUGAUACACCAUCAAAAUAUCACAUAUCACAAUCUGAUUCUCUUCUCUUCUACUUUUUAUAUUUUCUCUACUUAUAUUAUUAUUUUGGCAAUAGUUCUGUGACUUGGAUGCCUAUAUCCGUCUAUGAACGUGCUCAUAACGGAUCUUGAGUUUGUGUACAAGGGGUAGUAUCUUGGAGUCUUGUAGAUCGAUAGUACCUGCACGUAAGGAGGCUACAAAGGCUUUAGGACAGCGUCUUUAACGUGCUUCACCGUACCAAGCUCACCUUCUUACUUAUAAUUUAUUUUGCUUUUACGUACCAAUCAAUUUGUUUUUCUUUAGUUUUAUUGUACCUUAAUAGCUUUCCAAUUUGUUUAUAUAUUAUUUAUAAUAUAAAUUUUUUUGUAUUUGGAUUUACGGAAAGAGGAAAAAUAUUUUUUUUAUAACAUAAGAACAUGAUCAUGAAUCAAACUUGAAACUUGAAAUUUAUAAACCCAGAAUAUUCAUGUUAGGUUACAUCGAAGCCCUAGAUAUGGAUUUAGCUACUCAUAAUUGGAAAGAAACUUAAACAUAAAUGAGAAAACAUAAUGAAUGCAAUAAGAGUAGAAAAACCAUUUUCUGAAGUUCUUGUGGUGUCCAAUGCUUCUCCAAGAGCUUCUCCACGUCUAAUGCAUCUCCAAUGGCUUCUUCACAUCUAAUGCUUCUCCAAGAGCUUCCCCACGUCUAGAAGGAUGUAUAAAGGUUAAGAGGUGAUUUGGGAUGAGUUUGGGUGAGUGGUGAUGGCUGCAAAAGAGGAAAUUCGUAGGGAAAUGGAAGAGGCUCUGGUUAUGACAAUUUUGGUGAUUUGGGGCUGUUUAGAGUGUUGGGUUGAUUUUUGGAGUGUUUGGGGUUGUGGGAGUAUUUGAGGGUGAUUUUUGAAUGUGUUUGGGGAAUGAUGGGAGUGUGAAGGAUGGAGUGAUUUGUGGGAGUGUGAAUCCCAGGAUGUGGUUCUUCAUUUGGUGUAGAAUGGAUGUGGUAUUUAUAGGGAGAAGGAAAGGGGAAAUCUGAUUUGAAUAUGCCUUCUACCAAAAACAUUCACUUCACCAACUUUACCUUACACACCAACGCAAUUGAAAAUCUGUUUCUUUUAUUAUUUAGCUGUUGCACUUCACCAAAAAAUCCCACCAGAAACCAUAGCUCAUCAUGACCAAGCAACAAUCAGCUCAUCCUUAGGUCAGCAUGACUAGCAACUUCAUGGGCUUACUAAUUGGACUUCCCUUAAGCAAUUGAUGACUUUGAGCCAUCCAUCUUAAAUUUCAUACUGACCUCUUUCCAACCACAGCUCAUCCACUAUGAGAGAGAGAGAGAGAGAGAGAGAGAGAGAGAGAGCUGCACGAGAGAGAGGGAGAGUUGCUUGUAAGAGCAAGAGCUGCACGAGAGAGAGAGAGAGAGAGAGAGAGAGAGAGAGAGAGAGAGAUGCGCAAAGUAUGUAUUUAUAGGUUAUAUUUGCAAAAUGUGUGGGAAAAGAUGGUAUUUGCAGAUAAAAUUUGGAAAGCACUAGCAUUAAGUGCUAUUUCCCUUUCUUUUUUUAAGGCAUGCGGGAAGAGGACGUUGUGAAUACCAUUUAUUUAAGGCGCUCAUUCUAUGCAUGCCAUAAAAAAAUUUGGAUAAGUUGAAAGAAAAAUGAAAGUCAAUACAUAUAAGAAGGGUAAAUUUGGAAAACAAAAGAUAGUUUGUAUGAUGCAUUAAUGACAUAGUUUUAAAUGUAAAGAGAAUGACAUAUGUCAUGAGAAAAAGGGAGAAGGUCCAAAAAAGAAGGUUAGAGUUUUUGCUCACCACCUUAACCCUAGGUGUAUUCUCACCACCCAUUCCAAAAGUUGACACAUGUCAGGAAAAAUCUUGUUGAAGUAUUGUUUCUCUCUCAUAAUAAUGUUAUCAAAUAAAUAAAAAAAUAAAUAAUUAACUAUAGUUAAACCCAUGGACAUGUGUCAACUUUUGAGAGGUGUGGUGAGGGUACACCUAGGGUUAAUGUUGUGAGCAAAAAUGCACCCAUUAUUCAUUUAUGGCCUGCAUUCAAUGAGACAUUUCUUGUAGUGUGGGCCUUCAAUUUCUUCCCCAAUUUCAUGGCCUAUGGACCAUGCAAAAUCGUGUCCAAAAGUAAAAACAUUUUAAUUAGUACUAAGAGGACAUGGAGGUUCGAACCUGAGACCUUUAGUAUGCAAGUCAAGGCCAUUUUCCAUUGAGCUAGAUCCUAUUAGCGUUAAUUUACCCGUUCUAUAAUUUAAUAAAAUCUAUAAGCAACACUUAAGAAUUACGAAUUAAGAUGAUUUAGCAUGAAAUUUAUGGUCACCUUUGGUCAAUCCUAGGCACGUAUAUACAUAGGUUGCACGUAUUUCAACACUCAAUAUAUAGAAUUACAUACAUUCAUUACAAAGUGAAACUCAAAUUAUUAUUAGGGCUAACUACAAAAGACACCCUGCUGGUUUAGGGUCAUUCUCAAAUUGGACCCUAUGGUAUCAAUUUUAUCAAUUUAUGCCCUGACGUUUUCAACAUCGUCCAAUUUCAUCAUUCCGUUAAGUUGACCAGACGGUCAAUCAUUAAAUGCUGACGUGGCACCAGUGGGACCCACCCCACUAGUGCUUUGACCAUUCCGCGCAUGCCAGUUGAAGGGCACUUUUGGGUUUUGACAAUUCAAAAAAAAAAAAUGAAUAUCGCACCCAAAUUGGGCACGCGUUGCAAGAAGAAGACCAAAGAAAAAGCCCCAAAACGUCAUUCGUCCUCAACCUCAGUUUCACCUAAAUCCUAAAUCUCCAUAGCUAAGAGCAAGUUUUACGAUUUCAAAGAGGUGAGAAGAAAUGAGUUGGGAUUUCAGGGCUCCAGGCGCUCCGCAUCCCUCGUACGGUAAGUUGGUUUAAAUUUUUGUGAUUUGGGAUAUCUGUGUUGAAUGGGUUAGAGGCCGUAUGGGUUAUUGUAGUUUGAAUGUUGUGUUUUAUAAUCUGUGUGGAAUAGUGGGAGAAGUAUGGAAGAUUUUGUCGAAUAUAGGUGGCCUUUUUGCAGAUUUUGAAUAUAGGUGGUCCUUCAAGCUAAGCAUGUGCUGGCAAUGUCUACCUUUAAUAAGGUCAAAGCAUCUACCUUUAAUAAGGCAAAAGUGUUAGGUUGAAGGGUGUGAAAAGGGUUGUUUAAUAAAAACUUGGCCUUUUCUAUAAUGGUCCUAAACUGAAAAUAAUUGAAAAGUGAGUUAUGGUUUUUAUGUAAUGUGUGAAUACUUUGUUUGAAUACUAUGUUUGUGUUGUGUUUUAUGUUUUAAUUGAAAAUAACCCAUGUUUGGUACAUGUAAUAUGUAGGUGAUCCUGAAUUGUUUUCUAUUCGAAUGUACCAUGGUGGUCAAAUAUGUGGUAACUAUUAUGCUUCUGGCAGUGUAGCUUGGUUUGAUUAUUAUGACAAGGAUAGAAUGUCAAUGACUAAGACAGACAAUAUGGUAAGGUAGUUAGACUAUGAUGGGGUGAUUAGUUAUUGGUAUAGUAUCCCUAUCUAUAGCAAUGGUGGCCUAACAAAGCUUAAUAAUGAUCAAGAUGUCAUAGACAUGCUUGUAUUUGUAACAGAGACAAGGCUAAUAGACAUCUUCCUACAUCAUGGGGUUGAUAGUAAUGAGGGUUGGUUUUAUAGUCAAUCAGGAUCAAAUAUGUUUGUUGAUGUAGAAGCUGAUAUUGUGCCUAACAAAGGAGUUGUGAUUGAGGAGCUUGAUGACAAUUUUGGGGCUAUUGCUCCUGUUGGUGGGAAAUGCAAACAAUGGAGGCAACAAAAAAAAACAAAAAACAAAACAAGUGUUGUGAUAGAAGAGCUCAAUGAAGACCCAAAUGGGGAACAAAGUGGUGGGGGUACGCAAAAGCCAAAGGAAUCUUGUGCAAGAUAGGGUGUUUCUGAAAAAGGCAAAGAAAAAGCAGUAGAGAGGGAAUCUUCUGCAGUGCAAAAAGACAAAGAAAAAACUGUUGAGAGGGAAUCUUCUGCCACUGUAGCCAAAGGGAAAAGUAAAGUCAGUUCUGUUUUUGGGAAAAUGAGGGUAAGAGCUUUUGGUAAAAGAAGUCAAAAAUGUAAAAAAGACACAUGAAAAAGAAGACCAAACGUCCAAUACAGUGACUGAGGGACUAGUUGAGAGUGAGGUUGUUGAAGGAAGUGUAGAAAAGAGCAAGUUAUCAAGAUGACAUCCAAUGAAGACAAGAAAAGUAAGAAAAAUGACCACAGUCUGUGAUGAUGAUGAGGAGUCAGCAGAUAGUCUUGACUCUGAUUUUGCAAACCCUAACUUCAGUUGUGAUGCUAAUGAUGAUGAAGUCGAUUUUGAUGAAUGGGUGGACAAACAAACUGAGUGGGUUGGAGAUAGGGCAAAAGGAAAAGAGCUAGAGUCAACAAAUGCUAGGGUUGAAUCUUGGGAUUGGGGUGCAGAUGUUGAACUGGAUUCAGAGGAGUAUGAUUUUGAUAAUGUGCAACCUCAAUAUGAUUCUGAUGAUGACACUCCAAUGAUGGAUAGAUGGCCAGGGUUCAAUUCGGCAACUGACAUGGGAGAUCCACAAUUUAAGGUUGGGAUGAAGUUCAGUGAUUGGCUGUCAGAGAACAAUUUAUGUAGAGGAAUAGGGAUGUUGUAUUUAUGAGAAGUGAGGCUUUCAAGCUAAAGGCAGUUUGUGCAGAUCCAGAUUGCUCAUGCAAGAUAUAUGCUUCCAAAAUGCAACAUGAGAAGACCCUACAUGUUAAGAAAUAUGAUGGUGAACACACUUGGGGUAUUGUUUGGGAGAACCCCACUAUGAAGUCUAGUUGGCUCAGUGCCAAAUAUAUGGAAACAUUGAAGAGCAAUCCAAGUUGGCCAGUUAGCUCAUUCAUGGAGACUGUGGGGAAGGAUUAUAACACUCAAGUUUCUAGGCAACAAGUUUAUAGGGCAAAAGAGAGGGCAUUGAGGCAGAUUGAGGGAAUAUACACAGAACAAUACUCCAGAAUUUGGAAUUAUUGUGAAGAGUUAAGGAAGACCAAUCCAGGAACAACAACCAAAGUUCUAUGUGAUUUCAAUGAACAAUUGGGUCAUCCAGUGUUUCAAAGGUUAUAUGUGUGCCAAGAUGCAUGUAAAGCAGGGUUCAUUGUUGGAUGCAGACCCAUUAUUGGCUUGGAUGGCUGUUUCUUGAAGGGUGUAUAUGGAGGGCAAUUUUUAACAGCAGUUGGUAUAGAUGCUAAUAAUGAAACAUGGAUGAUUAUGUAUGCAGUAGUUGAGUCUGAGUGCAAAGACUCAUAGGUUCAGUUCCUGGAAUUGCUGGUAAAGGAUGUAGAGAUUGUUAACCAAUUUGGAUACACUUUCAUAUCAGAUAAGCAAAAAGGAUUAUUACCAGCUUUUGAGCAAGUUGUUCCUAAUAGUGAACACAGGUUUUGUGCAAGACAUCUGUUUACCAACUUCAUAUUACAAUUCAAAGGGAAAGCUUUGUUUGACAAAUUCUGGGGUGCUGCAAAAGCAACAACUGUUCCACAAUUUGCAAGACAGAUGAAAGAGCUGAAAAACCUUGAUAAAGAUGCUUAUGCUUAGUUCACUGAACCAAAAAAACCUCUCAGGCAUUGGUCUCGAUCACACUUCAGCACUCAUGUAAAUUGUGAUAUGCUUUUGAACAAUAUGUGUGAGUCCUUUAACUCAUUCAUAUUGGCAUGCAGAGAUAAGCCAAUACUGACCAUGCUUGAGAUAGUUAGGUGUAAGUUGAUGAGGAGGAUAUAAGGCAGAAGGGACAAAAUGAAGAAUUGGACAAAGGAAAUUUGCCCCAAGAUUUUUAAGAAGGUAGAGAUUAAUAAGGCAAAAGUGGGUGGAGGAAAAUUUCAAGUUGGCAGUGGUGGGAUUUCACAGUAUAUUGUGGACUUAGAUUUGAGGACCUGUUCUUGCAGAGAAUGGGAUUUGACUGGUUGGCCUCGUGUUCAUGGAGUGGCAGCUAUAAAUUACAACGGGGGCCCUAAACGUAAUGGAUUUUGUGGAUGCAUGUUAUCAUACUCAGACAUAUUUCAAGGCACAUGAAAACCUCAUACUAUCUAUGAAUGGGAUGGAGUUGUGGGAUAGAACUAAUAUGCCACCAUGUGUGCCUCCUUCAUACUCCAAAGAAUCUGAAAAGUCAAGAAAGGCUAGAAGGAAGGAAGCAGGUAAAUGCAGCAAUAAGGCCAAUGUUGUUACAAAAUUUCAAGACUCAUUGAGGUGUGGCCAAUGUGGAAGAAAGGACCACAUAAAAGGACUUGUCAUAGGAAUCUUCCCUCAAAAAUAAAAAUAAAAAAGAGGAAGGCUGAGGUAAACAUCUAAGGGUGAAAAUUUUAUUAAUUUUAAUGUUUUUGGGACUAUCAUGCAACUAACAGUUUAUUAUUUUUUGCCUCAUCCCAACAAAUUACUCUAACAAGUGAAGCUGGUCCCAGUACAACAACAAGGUGAACUAAGCUUGCAAGAUCUGUGCAGAAAGGAAAAUGGAAGAGAAAGGCCACCAUUGUAGCUGGAAGUUCAAAUGUACCGUGAAGUGAUUCAGCUGCUCCAUCCUCAGCAUCUGCCCAUCCUGCAAGUGGAUCUGCGCCUCUUGCAAUUGGAUCUGCCCCUCCUGCAUCAACUAAAGCUCCAACUGGCAAUUCUUAUUUAUUGAGGAAACGACCUAUGGUUGUGGGAGCAUCAGACUUGAGCAAGGAAUGAUGAUGGUCUUGCACACUUAUCUGUGUUCUAUUAGCUGGUUUGGUUAUUUUAUUAUCACAAGACAGUUUUACCUUUAUUAGCUAGUUGGAUUAGGUUAUUAUGUUAUCUUGGAAGACAAGUUGCCUUAUUUUAGGAAGAUAGCUUGUGAUAUUUUGUAAGAUAGGUUCUUUUCUUUUGGAAAACAGGUACCGUGUUUUUGGAAAACAAGUUCUAUUUUUUUUUUUUUUUUUGGAAAACAGGUUGUGUUAUUUUGGAAGGUUGUAAAUGUUAUUCUGUGGCCUAUUUUGUUGUAAUGCUGCAAGUGGAUAUGUUAUUAUGUGGCCUAUUUUGUUGUAAUGCUUCAAGUGGAAAUGAAUUUGUUCAUAUGUUGUACAAACAAGUUGUUGGAAUGAAUAGGUUAUUGCAUUACCAAAAAUGUCACAUUGUAUGCAGAUUACAUAGCCAUCAUGAUCAUUCCCAUUACAUAACCAAAAUGCAAACUGUUCAUUACAUAACCAAAAUGCAAAAUAUUCAUUCCCAUUACAUAACCAAAAGCAUACUGCUUUCCAUACCAAAGGCAUAGUGCAAACCCUAACCAAAAGCACACUACUUACACCACAACCACAGUACAUCCUAUACCAAAAGCACUGUGCAUCCCUAAAACAUCCCAUUUCAUGCCAAUUCCAAAGUCUUUAGCUUUAGUCCAUCUGAUCCACCAUUCCCUCCAAAGAAGAACAUUGCAAUAAGCAUCCACAACACCACCAAUGCUACCCAAAGAACCUUCUCUCUGCGUCUAGCCUUUGCUAGUGAAUACUCCAACUUAUUCCGCGAUUUUAGCAACCUCGGAAUGACAACUUUAGACCUUUCACACAUUUCCACAUCAUACCCAACCCAGAAAUCACAACCUCCUCUACCCUGCACAAAACCCACUCUGUAAAUUAAUAUUUGCACAUACUACAUUCAAAAUCUAAUAUUUUGCACCAAAUCUAGUUUUUUACCUUUGCACACACAGCGAAUUGCCUCACAGGAUUUGAAAUUGUCCACGAAGUUUGGAUCCUCGCAUUCUUACCACACCAACACACCAUCGCCUUAUGCUCCAUUUCUCAUUCGUUUUCUGGGUUAAGGAGCCAAUACACUCAAAUACACCUUUUGGGCGGCUCACUUCUUCGAAAUCGUAGAUCUGAGCUCUCAGCUAUGGAAAUUUAGGAUUUAGGUUAAACUGAGGUUGAUGACGAAUUUGGGGCUUUCUCUUCGAUCUCCAGCUUUGGCAACACGUGCCCAAUUUGGGCCCGAUAUUCAGUUUUUUUUUUUUUUUUAUAGAAAUGUCGAAACCCAAAAGUGCCCUUCAACUGGCACGCGCGGAAUGUUCAAAGCGCUGGUGGGGUAGGUCCCACGGGUGCCACGUCAGCAUUUAACGAUUGCCCGUCUGGUCAACUUAAUGGAAGGAUGAAAUUGAACGAUGUUGAAAACGUCAGGGCGUAAAUUGAUAAAAUUGAUACCAUGAGUCUAAUUUGAAAAUGACCCUAAACCAGCGGGGUGUCUUUUAUUGUUAGCCCUUAUUAUUAUUACGUAGAAAAAGUUACAGCCUUACAACAAUAUGAGUAAAUCAUGGAUAAUAGAACUUGUUAAUUUGGCUCAUUGAUAUCCCCGCAACAGAUAGUCUUACCUGAUAAAGUUUGGUUGGUUUAUUCUAACACUCCCAAAUAUCAAAAUUAUGAAAAUGGAAAUUAUACACAUACAUAUUAUUAUCGUUAUCAUUGCUGCUGAAGGCGAUAAGUAGGAACUGCCAAUAGAUGCUUAGCCCUAGGCACUGUUAGACCAAACUCCUCCGUCAUGUCCAACUCAGAUGGCAACAUAUUAUUUGGAAGCUCCCAAUCAAAACAAUGAACAAGUUGUGCCACCACAAGCUGGACCAUAGUUAUCCCUAAUUGCAUUCCGGGGCAACCUCGCCGGCCAGACCCAAAUGGAAUAAAUUGAAAGUCACGUCCCCGAAAAUCGAUAUUGCUACCGUCGAACCUUUCUGGUAUGAACUUCUCUGCAUCAGUCCAAAUACUAGGGUCUCUCCCAAUUGCAAAUAUGUUGAUAAUAACACGAGAUUUUCGGGGUAUGUGGAAGCCAUUCACAUUGCAGUCCUCAAUGGCUGCAUGGGGAAGCAGCAAUGGUGCCACUGGAUGAAGCCUCAUGGUCUCCUUCACUACCAUGUCCAAGUACUCCAACUUCUCCAAGUCCGAUUCUUCCACCUCCCUCUCCAUGCCCACUACGUUUUCUAACUCUUUCUGGACUUUCUUCAUCACCCGCGGAUGCUUGAUGAGUUCGGAGAGUGUCCACUCAAUUGCUGUCGCUGUUGUGUCCAUUGCGCCAGCCAGCAUGUCCUGCAAGGAAAUUUUUGGACAGAAAUACCAUUUAUUGUAAGAUAUGUAGUAGGGUUUCGCAAAUUGUGAAUUUGGACCGUUGAUUAGGUUGAUUGUUGCACAUGGAUUGAUGCGUGUUUUGUCCAAAUUCACUAUCUAACAAUAUAAAAAUAUGCAUGCUAAUAUAAUUACCAAAAUUAUAGCUUUGAUGUUGGAGCGUUCGAUUCGGUACUCGGAUUCUUCUGACCCCAUGAAGCCCAGCAUGACAUCAACAAAGUCCUUUGUUCUUUCUUGAUCUGUAGAUUGAAUAUGUUCAUCAAUGAUCUUCUCAAAAAAUGCAUCAAACACCUUGCUAACACCCUUCAUGCGCUUAGUUAGCCCCUGGAGGUCAAGUGGAGCAAUAAAAGGAAUGAAAUCACCGAAGUUUGGGGUGGCUGCUAAAUGCAUGCCCUCUUGGAUCACAGCCUUGAAACCCCUCUCGUCAAAUUCUUUAUCCAUGUACUUCUUCCCAAACACCAUCAGGCAGCUCAUGUCGGCAGUGAGAGACGCAACCUUGCCACUGAGAUCAACAGUAACACGAUCACUGGCAGCCUCUUGAAUAAACUUAGUCAAGAGGGCAAGCUCUUCUUUCCUCAUGGGCUUGAAAGAGUUGGUUUUGUGGCUGCUGAGCAACUCAAGGGUGCACAUCUUACGCAUGGUUCGCCAAUAGGAGCCAUAUGCACCGAAGGACAAAUUCCUUUGCCCAUAGGAAAUAUGUUCAGCAGCUUGAAGAGGUGGCCUACUUGCAAAAACAAGGUCAUGUGUUUUGAGGAACAGCUCAGCAGCCUGAGGGGAUGAAGCAACAACAACAGGAGCAAGGCCUAAGCGCAUAUACAUGAUGUCGCCGUGCUUUUGGGCUAGUCGAUGCAGAUCCCGGUGAGGGAACUCCCCUAACAUGUGCAGGUUUCCGAAAAGUGGAAACCCUCUGGGACCAGGAGGCAAUCUCUUCUUCUUGUUCUUGCUUUUGGACAGCCAUGCUUGCAGUACAUAAACAAGAGCAAGCAACCCAAGUAUUGCCCCAACCCAAUCCAUGGCUAACUCUACUACACAGCUAUAAGGUUGGUGAUUGAGCUUGUUGGUUGUGCUUAAAUGGUUGAGUAGGUUAAGUGCUAGAGUGUACUGGUUUAAUAUUGCACUGCAAAUAUUUAUAGGAGCACUUUGAUCUCACGAUUAGUUACAAUAUCAAUGACUUGAAUUCUUUUUUUCUUUUAUUUUUUGGGUUUAAUAUUGACAUGAGUAGGGGCAAGUUCAACCUCUUGUCUGAGGAGCCAAGCUUUAUUUGAAUAUUUAUCCGGCACUGAAGAUGGAAUUAAAAAAACCAAUAAUACUAUUUGGACCAUAUUUACCGACCACCCCGCCAGUGUAUAUGGGAUCCACCUGUAUUUGUAUUAGAGAGGUGGUCAGCAAUGACUAGUCAGUAAAUGCGUCCAAAUAACACCACCCUAGAAAAACACACUCUUGGCUAAGUUUAAUGUGUAGCCACGCCUUAUUAUUUUCUAAUUUUUAUUUUAAUUAAGGAAUGAGUAACUUUAUUUUAAUUGAUACCAAAUUCUCGUAGACAUGGAUGAGAUAAGUUGUUUAUAGAACUGCAAUUAUUUUGAAGUGGAUAUCGAGGAAAAAGCACUCUUAGCUAAGCUUAAAUUAUAUUUUCGCAUUCAUUAAGAAAUGAAAAAAACUUUAUUUAAUUACUCCCAAAUUCUCAAGGAUAUGGAUGAGAAAUAAUUCCCAGUUGUUUAUGGAAUUUUUUGUCCCAAGCUACUGCCGACUAAAUUAUUGUGAAGUGGAUAUCAAGGAGGAAUUUUAAUAAACAAGGGUCCUAAUCUUUGUUUCUUUGUUUCCUUGUGUUUGGUAAAUACUACUUAAUCUUUUUUAUAUUUGGAUGGAUGUAAUAUCAAGGCACACUUCAAAAUUAAAAUAUGAUGUCGAUCGUUUCUAUGAUGGAGUAUAUUCAGCCGGCAGAGAAGAAUUCCCUACUGGCUUAUGACAGGAUUCCAUCAGUUUCCUUCUAGGCCAACCAGACCAAUUUGAUUUGUCCUCAAAACUUCUUCUGUUUUACGCAGGGGAAUUUCAGACAAAAAAUUAUCCAUUUAACUACUUUGAACUCGAGUUACUUGAAUUUAUUUAACACGCUCAGAAAGGACAAAACAGAACAAAAGAAAUCACACGCAAAAAGCAAAAAUCAAAAGCAAAACGAAAGGAAAAAGAGUGCAUAAUUACCGUAUAUUAGCAAAUGUAAAAAUUUGCUUCAUCUACAUUAGAAGAAAUCACACACAAGUGUGAGAAGAGUACAGGCUUUUUGUUUACUGUAAAUGGGGAAGAAGAUUAUAAUAGCAGUAGAAUUGCAAGAAGAUGAAAACGGCAGAAGAAAUUAGAGAUAUUUAGUCAUAUACCCAUUCUUGGCACUAAAACUAUAAAUAAAUCAUAUACCAUUUAAUUUCUAUAAACAAAUCCAAAAAAAACCCAAAAUAUGAUAGUUGGCCUUAUUGAAUUUAAUUUUGAUUAUUAAAUUACUUUGAUAUCCUAUUGAGUGUUUUGGACUUUUUAAUGAGGUUUCGGUUUUGGAUUUGUUUUAAGAAAUCAAUAGCAGUUUUGUAAUUUAAAAGAAGUUAAAAGUCUUUUUGUUAUGUUGUAAAUGGAUUUUUGGUGUAUUUAUAAAAUCCAUUUCAUAUAGGGUUUUUUUAUAAUUUGAGCUCCUAUAUUGAGUAUAAUAGUGAAUCUCCCAAGAAAUUAUUACCGGACAAAGUAAACUUCUUAUCUGUUUCAAUUCAAAGGGAAGGCACUAAAAGGACAAGGGGAAGACCAAGAGCGCAUGGGAUAUAGACCAAAUGACACUUUAAGACAGCAACGCCUGCUCUGUCGGCAGAUUGAUGUGAAUGGGGCCGGCAGAGGCAAGAAAUAAAAGUUAAUGAGAUACCAAAAUCUGACUCAUGACAUGGGCCUAAACAUGAUAUAAACGCACAUUUCUACAACAGAUAAAAUAACAUCAAACCAAAAGUUCAAAUUAUUUGGCAUUUAUGGAAAAUCUGAUAGGGGCUGACUACAUUUGAAUGACAAAGAAGCAAAAAUCAAAGCAAUGUUGGUGUAUAGAAAUGAAUUGAGAGUAAAACCGAGUAGUCUAUCACUAUGCUCUGGCUUAAAUCAACGUUAAUGUUCGAUUCUCUUGGGAAAUUACUAAAACAAAUGACGAAAAUUACAUAUGAAUUAUAUACAGGGAAAAUGAUAGAAUAUAUUUCACAUAAAUCCAAUCUCAAAGGUGUCAGUAGAAUGAUACAAGAGCAUUUUCAGGCACGACAGUGAUUGUUAGCACAAUGCUAGAAGUAAAUUAAAGAACCUUGGAUUGGCAAGUAAUGCACGGUUGUGAAUCCUGAUUGACCACUUGAGCCAUUUCAAGUCAGUCAUCCCUCUUCCGACUCUGCCCAUCAAUCCAGAAAUUAGAAUGAAAGCAGAAGAAAUGAAAAUUUUCAGUUUAAGGGGCAUAUUAUUCACUCCCAUACAUUUUAACAGUCCAUCCAUCACAUAAAAGGGUAUAUUUGCCAUAAUCUCACAAAAGGAAGAAAGAUAAAUUUGAAAUUCAAAGGCCCAAAUAAAUUCCAUUCGAUAAAUGGCAAGCAUGUGCUAGUUGUAGUGUUGAUAUUUUAAACAAGAGAGAGAACAGGUACUCAUUGGAAAGGAUUCAUACCAUGUAUGGCUUCCAUGUUGUCUUCCUUGUAAACACCAAGGGGUGAGCCAUGGACAGAUAAGAGCAUCUCCCCAGGCUUCGGGAGCCUUCGCGUCUUGGGUGUCAUCCCAAUAGACAGUCUCUGGCUACUCACCUGCAGCAUCAACCAGGGUUGAUUAGAUCAUACGGACUGGAAGAGCCAUCAAGAUGCUCUUUUUGCUCAAUAGUAUAUCCAACAGUACAACAGCAGAGAGUUUUAGAACAAUCAACAACUAUAUUGGCAGUUAAACUAAGUACUAACUUUUGCAUACUCUUGCCACAACUCAAUACCUAAAAAACUUGUCCUAAUAACUUAUUUUUCUCUCAACACAAUUAAGGUCACUGAAACUUAAUAAUAUUUUCCGGUUUUCCCCUUUACAUGUCGAUUUCUAUAUCAACAUCACUGUUAUUUUUUCAGAAGUCUAGAACUUUGGACUCGACUCUUCAACAUUCUGAAAGGGCUUACAACAUAAUCUCCCUAAUUUACGUAAAUUCACUAAGUAGUUGAUAGCACUAAUAGAAAAUCAGCUUAGCACUUCUUUUAGGUCUUGAGGAUAGACACUGACAGCAUCUAUACUUCUGGAGCUCAUGCACUUCAGUAAGCCGUUUAGGCCUUCUACUUAUUCAAAUUUAUGGUAAAAGAAUUUGAAAUCUAACCAAAAGCUAUCAACAGAACAACACAAAUUGUCAUAAUAAAACCAAUUGCAGCUUGAAUAGACCUAAAUAUGAUAAAUCAAUCGAGAAGCUACAAACCCCAGGAGUUUGGAGAGUAUCUUGCUUCCCUAGCAUCAGAGUAUCAAAUGGCUCCUCUAAACCCUACAAUAGAGAUUUCAGCAAGGUAAAUAUCUGUAUGUGUAUGAAUGGAUGGAUGUAUGAAUUUAUGUAUGCAUGUGUGUGUAUUUGAAUAUGCAUGUGUGUCUAUGUGCAUAUGCAUGUGUGCCUGUGUGCAUAUGUGCAUGCGUGUGUGCGUCAUGUGUGUCUGUUUGUAUGCACUACACGGAAUUGAACCUUUACUAUAUAUUAAUUGCAUGUGUGCUACAUAAGCAUAUAAAAAUGUAUUUAAACAUUUUGAUUUUCGUGUUAGACACAUUUGAAAACUCCACUAAUCUAGACGUGUAUAUAAGAAGAAAACAUACAAAGUCGCUGAUCUGCAGAUUAUCAGCACCCAGAAGGCUUGUUUUAUCUGCCACCAACCAACUCAAUCAUGUGAGAUAUAAAAAACACACAAACAAAGAGGGGUACAAACUCAUUCAUCAAAUUCCAGAUCCCCAUGUCCAAAAAAUAGGAGUUUCUAAAGUUGUUAAUACCUGCUUUACUAGAAAACUCAAAGCCACCAAGAGAUGGAAUUGCAGCUGAGCAACCAGAAUAAGCAAUGGACAACCGACGAAGAAGAGUCUCAUGUAAAUCCAUUCCAUCAUUCAUGGAUACAUUGCCAUCUUUGUCAAUCCAUUGCACUUCCAUUUGUCCAUUUUCUCCAUUUCUUACAAUCGACAGGUUUUGAAAGUUCUCUUUAAAAUAUUGCAAUACAGGGGUUCGCUGCUGUUCCUUGUUGAAGUAGGAGCGAAGCAAACGCAAAUUAGUCAGGAGAUGUUCAGUCUCAACAUCACGAAUAGCCCUAAUGGCAGAAAUUUGCCGCUCAACUGUGAAAACACAAACAAACAGUACACGCAUUUGGUCACAAAUUAAUUGAAAUUUGAACUCUAAAAUAUAAUUUAGCAACUUAAAUGCCUGAAAAUUGCUCAUUGAAUCUGGAUUUUGGACAGAUGACAAUAAAGAGGGGAUUAGAACAUCAAAACUUCUUAAGACUAAUAGAAGGAUGGACAGCCCAACAUCAAAAGAAAAAUAAAGACAUCAUUCUUUUCCAAUGGAGAAUCAGAAGCAGAGUUUCUCAUUAAAAUGGAAACUGUAUUACAACUACCCAUUGAACGUUAACAAUCAACUUAUAAAAAGAAAAGAAAAGAAAAAAAACCCAAAAAUGUAAUAAAUUAAAUACAAAUGCUGUCAGUAGAAACACAAAUAUAAGAUGCGCGGAGUGAAAUUAUACCAUCUGGGUCUGUGAAUUGAGCUUCUUGUUUCGCAUUCUGGGGUUCCUUUUCCUCUGCAACAUUGAAAUCGGUCCCUGGUGACAAGGCAACUUGUUUUACAGUUUUCUUAGCUCUUUUUCUUGCCAUUUGAACUGGUCUAUUCUGCUAUCAUAUCCAAAAACAAUUCCAUAAAUCAACUAUUAAAUUUAUACACGACACACAAAAUUGUCAAUUUUUUCAAUUUGUGUUCAAUGUUAGCUUCAUGUGUGAAACAGCAACCAGAGUAUGUUAAAUCUGAAAUGCCAAGCAACCCAAUUCGCAUUUGCAUACUCCAAAAAGAAGGGGGAAACAUUUUCAGUUCUUUCUUUUCUUUUCAAACGGUAAAAAAGAAUGUCAUUUCAAUGUUGCAGAAGAUUGAAAACAUAAAACUAAGGGCCGAUUUGAUAGAAAACAAGUCAAGCACAAAGCAACAACAAAACCCAAAAACACAGCAACAACAAAACCCAAAAACACAGCAACAACAAAACCCAGAAACACAUUAAUAGCAAAACACAAUAACAGUCCAAAUAUCAAAUACCCACAGCCUAAAAACACCAAAUCUGAAACACCCAAACAGUCCAAGUCAAAGAAUUUCAUACCUUUGAUGAAAGUCCAAAGGAAGAGAGAAGAGGCAGAUGGAGAGUUGCGAGAGAGAGGGUUGAGAAAGCGAGAGUGAAUGUGAGAGUGAGAGAAAAAGAGUUCAGAGGGCGAGAGCGAGCGUGAAAAAGAAAAUAGAAAACUGAAAUUUGAAAUUGAUUUUUGGUAGCUUUCAAAAUUAUGCCUCGUUUUGAAAUCAGUUUUCAGUUUUCUACAAACUAAAAAUUAUAAUUAGUUACCAACACAUUUUCAAUUUCAUGAAAACUGAAAAUGAAAUUAUUAUCAAACGGACCUUGAAAAAAAGAUUGGGUUUUGUGAAGAGGUGUACUUACCACUGACCGGCCGGCGAUUUGGGCUUGUCGAAGCUUGCAGUGCUAGGCGUGGCCGCUUACAAAAUGCGUUUGAAUUUUGAGAUUUUGGAGGUAAACAAAUUCGUUCUGAAUAAUUGGCAAACAAGUGGGAAGAAAAGUUGACUAAUAUUUUAUUUUGUUUUAUUUUUGGUCUCAUAUUACUCUUGCAUUAACGACAAAAAAAUCAACUGAAAUCAUGUGGAAGAAUAUUAGUGCUGCUUUAGAAAGAACUUCUGCUCAUAAAUGCUUUUAGCAAAAGCACUUUUAUUAUAAAGAUAUUGUAAUUUUCAUAACAAAUUCAAGUGCCUUGAAGAAGCACAUAGUAAGUGCUUCUCCAGAAAGCGGUUCUACGAUCCAGGAGCACUUCUAAACUUUUCUGUCAAACACUGUCAAAUGUUGACAGGACCCAACUCAAAUUCCACUUUGGAAUUUGAAUCGAACCUAGUACGUGUCCGACACCUAGCAGGUGCUAAACACGCUUGACCAGAUUGCCCUUCUAAGUCUCAAAAUUCUUUUUCAAGUUAGACUUCUGCCUGAAAUUUGGCAGAGUCUCCCCUCUAAAAUGCUCGUUUCCCAAUAACUCACCACCUGUAAAUAUACAAUUAACAAUGAAAAACAAAGUCCCAAUCGUUCAGCAUACAUAAGACCAAUAACCCGAACGGCCUCGGGCCUCCAUAAAUCAAAUAAAUAUUCCAUCCUUGAAUAAGAACUCAACUCUUAGAAUAAUGUGAAUCCUUUAUCAACUUCUAAUAAAUUAAUUCACAAUUACACUUAAAAUAUACACCACAAUCUAAUAAAAACCAUAUCCAUGAUUCAUCAUCUUUAAACCACUAAGUAUAUAUAUAUAGUCCCCUUCUAUUGAGGGAUCCCUCAAAUAAUAUUUGAGGGACUCCCUUUAGGGUACCCUACAAUUUUUUUCCCAAUGAUCCAAACCAUUUAUUUUUUAGGUCUUCAUUUAUAGAUCAUCCUUACAAAAAAUUAGACAAAAAUCGGAAACCGUUUCGACAUCCAAUUGUGUCUUACAAAAUCAAUGAACACGGUGCUUCAAGAAAAUGCUAAAAUUUUAAUAACUUAAUUGAGUGGUCAAAUGAUAUCGGAUUCAAGUGAUUUUUUGUAGAGAUGAUCUUUGAAUGAGUAUCUACAAAAUAGACGGUUUGGAUUAGUGAAAUACAAUCCGGAGUGGGGCCUACAAGGGGUGUCCCUCAAAUAAGCUUAUUUGAGGGAUCCCUCAAUGGAAGCUCUCUGUAUAUAUAUAUAUAUAUAUUAGAUUUUAACAUAUAAUAAAUAUUUAGUUAAUUUCUCGACUACACCAAAAUCCAGUUAAUAAACCUUCCCCUAACUUUACACAACCAGUCAUAGCAUAAAACCCUUAGAAAUAAAAGCGAUUACCCGAUAACCCUAAACAUUUGAACAAUCCAAUAUCACCCAAUCAUACACUUUUUCCUAAUAACAAUAAAUAAAUAAUUAACACGCUAAACUUCGAAUAUCAUAAUAACACCCAAUAAUAUCAUCAAACACUAUAACAUAAACUCGUAAUCCAAACAUAAUUAGAAAAGUUCACAAACAGUCAAACCUCGUUUACAUGGUCGUUCUUGUACUACUCGAAGGGUGACACUAUCUCGGAAGACUCGCGAUCAACCGAGGAUCAAACUUCCUACACUAGGUCAACCAGGCCCACAGAGCCCACGACCUCUGAUUUCCAAUCCAAAAGUUCCUAUUGGUUCAACAAGGUUUACUAUACAUGUCCUACAAGUUUGGACUGAGUUGAAUGGUCGGAUCGCUCACGUUCAGACAGUCAUCAUUUAUCUAAACUUUAAAUUAUUGAAUCGGAGUAUCCGAGACUCCUAUUAUUGAUCCGCGAAGUAAUAUACAAUCCUAGAAUGCCUAGAUCCACAUAUUUGAAAAUGAAGUCAAUUCAACUGUCUGAACAAAUCAAACCUGGAUAACGCCUAAUAUGCGAUAUUCGAUCGACAAUCAAACGGUAACCAAAUUCCUAUCUGAGCAUACCAUCGUGCUCGGGACUACAUGAGGAUCAUUUUAUAACUAAGAGGGACACCCAAACAGUGCCCACGCGCCGGCACACUGGCCGGCAGUUCAUGGGUGUCCAAAGUGAUUCCGGCGAUCGGAAAAUCUCCAAACCGCCGGUCAAGACCUAUACCUACAUGAUCAGAACAAUGAAUGGAGCAACUUUGGUUCUUGGACCAACCCCAAAAAGUAAUCAGACGUGGCCGGAAUCGAGGGCUGAAACCGGCCAAAACUUUGAUCGCUUAAAUCCGUUUCAAAACGCAGAAAUUAAUCCUAAACAACCCAACCAACAGCUAAAACACACUGAGAGGAUGAGAAAGCAUACCUAGAUCGCAAGAUUUGGUAGUCGGAAUCGCCUGAACGAACUCCGUGAAGUUAUGGGUAAAACCAGCCGGAUUUUUGCGAAUUCCAGCGAGAUACGGCCGAGCUGGGGCGGCGAAGGGUCGAGAUGGGAAGGUGACGUCGCGCUGGUUCUUUUGGUACCAACCUUGUCGAGUUUGGUGGUCGGAGGUGGUGGUGGCGACCCAAAAAUGGGUCGGAUGAAUAGUAACAGCACAGGGGGGGAGGUUGAUGCGAACCAGAAGGAGAAGGGAGCAGAAAAAAGAAAUUUUUUAAAACAGUCCGGUACUGUAGCCGGUCUUGUAGCGGUACUGUUUGCUAAAGUGACAAAUUUAAAAAAUUUUAUUACGCUUUUAACUCUUCAUGAAGCAUUCCAAAACAGUUCCAUUACUUCAAAGAUAGCAAAAGCAUCCAAACACAACAAUCAACAUUUUUUUUUUCUUUCCAGAAUUGUACUUCUAAUCCAAAAUAGAAAUUCUAAUAUAAUGUUGUGAGAAAUUUCCUCUCAGUAUAAUUUAGAGUAUCGCUUAUACUAAAAAAAAAAAAAAAAGUGUUAUGUAAAGCAAAACGUAGCUUUAGACACUCUUUUUUGGGCUAAUAUUUGAAAACUAAACAUCAAAGCCCACUCGACCAGUCAAAACUUCGAUGAAAGAAAGAGAGUGACUUUUGAACUCUCUCGCUUUCUAUAACGAAUCUUUGAAUUAGUCUCUCCUCUGUCACUUUCCCUAUCGCCUAAUCCCAACUGUGGCGUUCUCACCUAUGUGCUUUCGCCACAUGUGCACAAUUGCUAUUUUAAACCGCCCAUUGGUGGCUUGUAGAUUGUCUUCUUCUGAUCAUGUAGACGAAGAAAAAGGUGAAAAAGCAAGUGUUCAAGCUGAGCUUUGUACAUGGUGGUAACCAUGCAAUGUGAGUAACUCUGUAAUUUUCUUUCAUCUGUUUCAGCAAAUGGGUUUUUGAAUUCAUAAUCUGUAGAUGCUAAUUCUUUGGUUGCAGAUCCGCUGCUGCUGCUGCUGCUGGUUACCAUAAUUCUUUGGUUGCCUCCUACUUCAAGCCUUGAUGCUACCAACAGUUCAACCAAAAAAAGGCGAGAGGUAAUUUCAGGACGCCAUGCUGCUGUUGCCACUGAUGAUGGACGAUGUUCCAGAAUUGGGAUGCAUGUUCUUCGCGAAGGCGGUCAUGCCGUUGAUGCAUCAGUGGCUGCUGCUCUUUGCUUAGGGGUUGUGAGUCCAGCAUCAAGUGGCAUAGGGGGAGGAGCCUUCAUGCUUAUCAGGCUAGCCAGCGGGGAGGCACAAGCCUUUGAUAUGAGAGAAACUGCUCCCUUGCUAGCUUCUGAGGUUUAAACCUGCUUUGUACUAAAAGCUCUCUCUUCCAUUAGACUUGAAUGAGUUGCCUGGUUCUUAUGAUUUUUCUUUCUUCCUACUUUCAGAACAUGUAUUCUUCCAACACUACGCUGAAAGGUAAAGGGGCUCUCUCCAUAGCAAUUCCAGGGGAACUUGCAGGCCUUCAUAAAGCUUGGAAACAAUAUGGAAGGCUUCCAUGGAAAAGGCUUGUAAGUCCAGCUGAGCGUCUCGCUCGUUUGGGAUUUAAAAUUUCACCAUACCUCAACAUGCAGAUGCAUAGAACAGAAUCAGGAAUCUUGGCAGAUGAGGGACUUCGUCAUGUAUUUACAUUAAACGGGAGUCUCUUGAAGACAGGUGAGACAUGUCGUAACUGGAAACUGGCACAGACACUCAGAGACAUCUCGAAUUUCGGUCCCAGAGCCUUCUAUAAUGGAUCUAUCGGAUCCAAAUUGGUUAGAGAUAUUCACAAGGCCGGAGGAACACUGACAAUGAAGGAUUUGCAAAAUUAUAGAGUUAAACUGAGAAAGCCUAUAUCUACUGACACUCAUGGGUUUAAAAUACUGGCUAUGCCUCCUCCUUCCGGAGGUCCUCCAAUGAUACUUGUGAGUAUAUAUCUCUGUUCUUGCAUUCUUUUUUGUCUUUUUUUUUUUGUUUUUGAAAAAAAAAAAACAGAACUUCAAUUCCACUGUUACAGAUGCUAAACAUUCUUUCUCAAUAUGGAAAUGUUUCUGGAGUUUCUGAUCCUCUUUGGGUCCAUCGAGAAAUCGAGUCCUUGAAACAUGUAUUCGCGGUGAGGAUGAAUCUUGGUGAUCCUGAGUUUGUUAAUGUGACUAAUGUUCUAGCUGAUAUGCUUUCUCCUAAGUUUGCUGAGGAGUUAAAGAAGACCAUAUAUGACAACCGGACUUUUGACCCAAGCCAUUAUGGAGGCAGGUAUGUUGUCUAAUUGCCAACAGUAUUUAUUACCUGUUAGAUUAUACAUUCGUUUAACUAAUUAUUCUUGUUUUGGUUACCAAAUUUUCUAUCUUCUCUGUCCAAGAUUUAUUAAUAUAAAUUCUGUUUCUUGCUAAUGCAUGGAAUGGUACAUAUAUGCACUUGAGUAGCAAUGCUUCAAUGUGCAUAGAACUAAUGUUGUGAGUUCCAGAUUAUACUACUGAAUUCGUUUUCUCGGCGACGAGGAAGUGGUUUAAAAAUGGUGGCGCAUUGAGUUUGUUUUGUCUCUAUUUAAUUUGCUACUCAAGCUUCUUAUACAUCCGUUUAGAAGUCCAUUUGCUUCUAAUGCGUCUAGUUUCAUCAAUUUCAGAUGAAGGGAAUGCUAUCCACAUGUAUGCAAGCAUGAGUACAAAGAUGUACUAAACUAUUUUUCAUCAUUCACUAAUUCAUUCAUGUUGGCAGUCAACAUUGGACAGAAAUGGUAAUGUUGCGAUAUGAAUGUUGUGGGAUUUUAGUCUAAAUUAUAUACAAAAUCUGCCUAACUAAAGCAGUAAAGCCCUGUUUACCAAAAACAAAAACAAAAAAGUAAAAUCCUGUGUAACUUGCUCUCACUCUCAGGUAUUUUGCUUGUGCUUGUAGAGGCCUUUUUACAUAUUCUCCUAAUCCAAGACUUUUUGUUUGUUUAUACUAAUCCUUGUUUCCUAACAGGUGGAACCAGAUCCAUGAUCAUGGAACCAGUCAUUUGUCCAUCAUAGAUAACGAGCAAAAUGCCGUCUCUAUGACUACUACUGUGAAUGGAUAUUUCGGUUCACAAAUACUGUCGUCAAGUACAGGAAUAAUUUUAAACAAUGAAAUGGAUGACUUCUCUAUACCUGGAAAUGAUUCUACAGUUCCACCUCCAGCACCACCCAAUUUCAUCAGGCCAGGAAAGAGGCCAUUAUCAUCCAUGACACCUACUAUAGUCCUGAAGGUAAUGCAUAAGCGAUAUGGAGAAAUGAGGAGAGAGAGAAGUAGAAGAGGGAGUGAAAGAGAGAAGAUAGGGGUAGAUAAAAGAACAAUAGGAAGUUUCAACUUUAAUGUUUUUCUAUGCAGUGUGUAUACCUGAGCAAUAUUUUCAUGUCUUCCUAUAUAUGCUUUGACAGGAUGAGCAACUGAAAGCAGUAGUAGGCGCAAGUGGGGGAGGCAUGAUCAUUGCUGCAACUGCACAGGUUCUUUUGAAUCAUUUUGCAAGGGGAUUGGAUCCACUCUCUUCGGUCAUGGCUCCGAGGGUCUAUCACCAGGUUUUCAUUUAAGUCCCAUCCAGAUUACACACUCUCUCACACACGCAAGAUAUACCUUCAAUGCAAUUUAUACUUUUCAUAAUAAGUUCUGCCAUUAUGUUGUAUGGUAAAGAAAUGUCUUGGAUAGCAGCUGAAUAAUAGGAUUAAGGGAUGCCUCCUUUUUUCUUUUUUCUUUUUUUUGAUUAAUUUCUGUAAUUGGUUCACAUAUUAACUACCCUUAGGUGAUGAUUCACCCUUGAGCAACCUAUCGUUGCUCAAACCCUGCCGCCAACUGCUUCAGCUUUUCCAGUAUUGAGCUUUUGUAUUUUGUUUGAUUAGAAGAGAGGCUUACUCUUUUACCGUUCAUAAAACGUAAAGUUCAAUUUAGUUAUCCAUUAAACUUCUAAUCUGAUGCAUUUCUGUCUUAACAGCUAUUACCUAAUGUGGUUCAGUAUGAAAAUUGGACAACCGUGACUGGCGAUCACUUUGAAGUUCCUGCUCAAAUCAGGAAAGCCCUACACAAGAAGGGCCAUGUGCUAGAUCCCCUUUCUGGUGGAUCCAUUUGCCAGUUUAUAGUUCAACAAAUAGAGGCUUUGAAGAACAAUGGAGGCACUAGGGAGAUUGUGGCAGUUAGUGAUCCAAGAAAAGGCGGUUUCCCUGCUGGUUUCUGAAAUUGGGGGAUGGUGCUAUGCUAGUCACUACGGAAUUGAAGCUAGUUAUUGCCUUUGUUCCCAUGCUAGUUUUCUCCCCCUUGUCCACAGUAACUAAUUCAAAAUCUAUUAUAUAACAAGAUUGACAAUUUGUUUAGUGCAGUUCAUUUUGUUUUUAUCUUAUGCUCUACAAAGGAAAAGGCACAAUGGUUAUGAUAUUGCUAAAGAAUUUGAGAAAAUAAUACUCAAAUGUUAGUUCUUCUCAACUCAAAGAAGGUGCAUAAUCCACAAAUAAUCUCAAGAAGACUCUCAAUUCAAACUUGAGGAAAUGAGUGAUAUUAGCACUUGAGUGAGAGAUUAGUUUAUACAAGCCAAGAGAUUAGCAAAUGCUGAAGAGAUACAGAAAGUAAGUAUAGGAGGAGUGAAGAGAUAAAGUACCACAACAUGGUUGAACAGCAGAAAGAUGCUGUGUUCGGGUUUGAGGUGAACUCACAUGAUUCUGUUGUGGAGUUGGAUUUUCUGCAUGGUUUGCUUUGCAUUCAAUCGUAAAUUUUCAUUAACUGGACCGGGUUAGCUUAUUUGUACGGCACCGGAAUCUGAAACUAGGCCUUAGUCUCGGAGAGAUGAAGGCUAGAAUGUAGGGGAAGACUCCUCAAUGCCCAAAAGAUGAUGGAGAGGGCCAAGACCCACUGUCUAAAAUUCUUGCCAAGCUUAGAGAAAUACAAGAGAGAGCAAAGAUAAUGGAAACGGUUUUGCUUCCUUUUUCUGCGGCUAACUAUACAGAUUGCCCUGUGUUAUCAAAUUUGUUGGACCUAAGUGGAAGUCUCAAGGCUUGUAUAAAAGCUACACUGACUGAACUAUGUGUGAAGAAUUGAAAAAUGCAGCAGUCUUGAUAACAUUUUGGUGCUGGAACAAAAAGCUUCUAACUCUUGAUUUAGCCGUUUUUAGUGAUUCUGCACUGAUAGAAUUAGGUUAUCUUCCUAAUCUGUAUUGGAAAGUACCAAAUAAUUAGUCAUGGAUGAAAAUUUGAGCUUCAAAAUAGACCUUAAAGUCACUUAUGCCAAAAGAAGAGAGAGCUACAGCAAGUGUUGAAGAAAUAGUCCCACAUCGACGUACCGCGUUUAGACAGAACGCUUUAUAACCACAGGAAGGCGACGAUACAUCGCCGAGCUAAGUAACGAGAGCUUGUAACUCAAGUGGGGGCAUUAAGGUGAUGGAACUUUGGCCCAGAAUUAACGGGUUGGGUCUGGUAUGGCUCUUUACUAGCCUGCCCAUUCCAAGCAAAGAGUUGUUCCAUGUGAUCUGAGCGAAAGCUCUGGGCCACAUGGCUCCUAAAGAGGAGGGCACCGCGUGAGGCUGGGUUCACAGAGCAGCGCCUACCUCCCGCUCUUUGCAGUGGAAGGAUAACGGGCUGGUGCCACCUUGAUCCAUCGUGGCCCGGUAGACUGGUCCACAUGAACCUAAUCCUUCGUUUUUGGUUUUAUUUCUCUCUCACUCUUUUGUCAUCACAUCACUUCUUCUUGUCUUCGUGAACUCUAAAAAAUUCAGUAAGUUCGUUUGUUUGUUUUAAAUUAAUUUUCUGUAGAUUUUGGUAAUGUAUUAUGGAGAUUCUCUUACAAGAGGGCUUAAAUAAACAUUGCUUUGAAAUCCUCUAUCAAUUGUAAUGAAGCUUUCUGUUUUCCUUUUUUCUUUAGAGUACAAUUAAUUUUUUCCUCCUCAUCAUAUAUUCACAGUUAGGUAAGAAUGAUUCCUGUUAGAAUUGGUUACUGAAAAUUACGAAAAGACUAGGUGAAAUUCCCGUCUUCCUCAAUGUGGGGGUCUUUUUCUUCCGGCAGCUGCAAAUAGGCUGGGCUGCCGUAAAGGGGAAAUUACUGGAAUUGCCCCCUGUGCCUGAGUUCGAAAAUUAAGCCCCAAAAGCACUUCGAAAGGGCAGUAAAGCCUUAGGAAGUGUUCUGGUUACCUUUACCAACGAAAAUGAUGGCUGCUUACAGGUGAUUUAUGCUUGCUUACAGAUAAAGUUUUAGCUUAGCAUGAGGAGAUUGUGGCAUGGGAGCAAGGUCAGCAUAAGUUGAGCACCAAAGAGGAAAAUAAGGCUUCCUAGGGAGAAAUGGGAGUGUUUAAGAUGAGGGAGACAAGGUUUGCAGGAUGAUCUUGGCUAAAAAGGGGUAAAGGAAGGGCAUUACUUCUUCCGGCAGCUUGACAGACUCUGAAAAUAGUCUGUUAACAGAGAAGAACAAAGAAGAAGAGUGAAUAGGGCUACUGGAUUUUUUACAAGUAAGAGAGGAAGCUUGCUCUCUCAGCCUGGGUUGGUUUUUGCUAGGUGGAAGGGACCUCCUUUUAUAGCUGAGGGAAACCUUCAUUCCCCAAGAAAACCUAAUGGUUUCUUCCCCAACUUAGCAAGUUUUUUCCUUCCCUUUUCCUGUCUUAUCUUGACUUUUCCCUAUUUUGGUAAGACUUCCCAGAUCAAUUUGCACAAAAUUAGGAAUUUUGGAGCUCAAGGCCCCCUUUCCCGCGGCUGCUCCAGUGGAGGUUUUCCACUUCCAGCCAUUUUAUUUUCCUUUCUUUCUCACUCCUUCCUAUGACCAGUUUUGAUAGGGAAGGAGUUGGGAUGUGUAUGUUGGUUUGAAGAGUGUCUCUCUUCCUGGCAGCUUGCAUGUUAACAUCCAUUGGUUUCUCUGGUGUUUUGUUUUGGAACUUGAUCUCUUCCAAUGUGUUGUCACUUCCCAGCAGCUCUGUUCAAUGAUUCUGCAGACCUCUACGUGGCUUCUAUUUUUUCCAGCAAAGGGCUGAGAUUUUUAUGGCUUAUUUUUGGGGUUUUUGUAUGGGCUAAAGUGGUUUCUUAAGCAAGUGGGCUAUUUAAACAUUGGGCUUUUGGUUGGGCUAUCCUUUGACUGGGCUAAUUUUGGUUGGGUUAUUUUGGUUGAGUUAUUUUGGUUGGGUUAUUUUCUCUUUUGUGCUCACCCACAUGUUUGGGCCUAAGAAAUGGGCUUGGGUUCCGAGGCUCCCAAGCAACCCGGAACCUCCAUUUCUUGACCCAUCAAUGGGCCUCAUGAUGACCUAUUACCAUCCAUACCACAACCCACUCAAACAAGCCCCGGGCAUCUUGCGUGGCUUGGGCCCACUUAAGCUUGUAGCAUGGCAUGUUGUUUAUUUGCUUGGCGUGGCAUGUGUAUAAGCGCAUAUGGCAAACUUUCGCGUGCCCCAAAUUGGGUUUCUUCUCGGUAAGAUAUCGCAUUGGGCUGAGAAUUUAUUUGGGCCGAAGCGUGGAUUUUUUUUGGGCCUCAACAUUAGCCCCCUUGAUUAUUGGGGCCAUGAAUGUGUGUUGAAAUGGUCCAAAUAAUCAAUUUCCAGCCCAAAAUAAAUUGCAGUGGCAUGGCAUGGGUUCAGGAGCAACUCAAGGAUGACCAGUUAAAUGUCUCUGAAAUUACAGCCAGGUCUUUUCCGGGAAUGUUGGAGGGGUCGCAAUGGUCCCGCUUAAAACCCAAUCCUUCUUAAACACCGAGGGUGUUGCCUUGAAGAAUUUUCCUAGACACUGUAAUUUUGGAGGUCACUUACUAGAGUUACCAAGAGUUGGCCUAUUUUGUGGCAUGAUAUAGAAGAAAAUGCUUGGUGGAUUAGCUCAAAAUAACUUAGCUUGCAUGAUUUAUUUGCUUGAGUGACUAGAGAGACUUGAUUUUGCAUGGUUGUGAUUUGCAAGAGUUGCAUUGAUUUGCACGCUUGAUGUUGGCAUGUAUUCUUGGUAUCUGGCUUGAUGCUUGGCAUUGGCAUGUAUGCUUGAUUUGUGCAUGUAUGCUUGGUACUGCUUGGCUUUGGCUUGUAUUGAGUUUACAGCACCAGCCCCAGAACACUUGAAUUUGGCAGACAAAACCUUAGUGAACGUGAUAGUGUGCGACAUGAUGGCUAGAUAUUGGAAGAAUGCUUGAAGUAGGGCAUGUGCUGGGAGGGCAUUUGGAAUAGGGCAUGUGCUGGAAGGAUAUUUGAAACAGGGCAGGUGCUAAAAAAAAAUGCUUUAAAUAGGGCACGUGCUGGAAGGAUGUUUGAAGUAAGGCAUGUGCUGGAAGGAUGUUUGAAGUAAGGCAUGUGCUGAAAAAUAUUUUGUUUGAAAUGGGACAUGGCAUGUGCCUGAAGCACGUGACUUGGCUUGACAUGAUUUAUCUUCUGGUUUUCCCUCAUUCUCUUCUUUCUUCUUCUUCUCCAAGACCCAAACCCGUGGGUAUUGUGCAUCAGUACAUAAGUCAUAUUUUGGAAGCUCGGAUCAGAAAACUUCCUUGAUGAAAGUUGCUCAUCUGCUCGAGUACUAUAGCCUGUAAAAUUUUCUGAUUUCUUUGAAUUUUUCUGAUGCCUCAAAGCUGGUCUGCAACUUCUGUGUUCAUCCAUGGCUGGUGAGGUUCUGCAGAUUCUGCUUCUGCAUGUGUCUUUAACUUAAGAUGCUUGGAUGAUUGCACUUGCUUCACAAAAUUUGCUCGAAAUUAUGUUGUUUAUAACAUAUCCAAAAUUGAGAAUCAUCCACCCAUCCUAGUGCUUUCUGCCUCCAUUUUUCUGAAGCAUGUUCAUGAGUUGAUGUUGAUGCCUUUGUUGCAUGCUUGUUUUCUAUGCUUGAAUGCUUGAGUUCCUCUGUACUUCCCAACAUUUGUGGACUAGAAAUCAAAUUCUGAUGUUGAACUUCUGGUUUAGGAUUCUGGCUUGGUGAUAAACAAGAGUCAUACGAGUUCACUUGGGUAUGCAUGCCAAGUGUUUGUCAAAAUAUCUCAAAGUAGCUUGCUGAUUGUUUUUUGAACUUUUGAAAUGUUUCUUUUCGAAUCUGAGUUGGAUCUUUAUAAAAAAUGGACUUCUCAAUGGCUAUGUUGGAAUUGGUCAUGCGUCACUUGAAGAAAAAAUGAAUUUUUGGUGGAAUUUCAAAGUAAGGGCUAAGCUACUGGAGCUGUGCAGUUCCUGUGGCAUGGGCUGUUUUAGGAAUCUGUUUGACAUGCUUCCCUAGCUCGAAAUGCAACGAAAUUUUGGGCAAAUGAAUCUUGAUAUGUCUAGUUCUAAUCUGGAAAGUCUGGGAUUUUUUGGUUGUAAGCUUGAUUUAUAGUGAUUUUCUAAAGGUGGGAUGUUCUAGCUGGAAUGGUUGGAAAGUUUGUGUAUAAGUUUUGCUUGGCAUGUUGCUUUUUCUUGGGAAUUUAGCAUGUCCUUUCUGUUGGCAUUGAGUGCCGAUCUGAGUAUUGCUAGAGCAUGUUCUUGAGCAAUAUUUUUGUGAGAGCAUGAUAUUGAAAGGUAUUGUCGUAAGAGCAUGAGUUCUUCAAUUUGCUUGAAAUGCUCGAAUUGCUUGGAAUGCUUGAAUGAAAUGAAAUUUCUUGGCAUGUGGAUUGGUAUCAUGCCCUGUGAAUUUUGUCAAAUGCUUGAUAGAUGAGUUUGCUUGCACUUUGAGAAAAUUAUGCUUCCAGCGCCUUCCUUUGCAUAUGAGUACCUUUCCGGCGUCUGAUUUUGGCUAACAUAUUCUCUUGUUUAGAAUCUCCAAAGCAUGAGAAAGCAUGAGAGGUCUAAUUUUCUAGGAUUUCGAUGGCAUGAAAGUGGGCUUUGGUCUCUUGCAACUUGUCUUUGGAAAAAAUUAUGCUUCAAUAGCGAUUAUGCUUCCGGCAUCCCCUUUUAUCAUGUGGUGGCCCUUUUUGAGCUGGUGAAAAGGCUGAACUUUGCAUGAUGCAUUUUUUUUUCUAUGCAGGUGUAUACGUCUUUGGCACAGGCAGGGGAAGGUGUCGGAAGCCUGCGUUGUAUCCCUUGCCGUUGGAAGCUUCGAGUGUACCGACUUCGCAACUUGGCAAUUUGGAUUUCUAUCUUGAUUUCUCAAUAAAUAGUUCUGCUCCUUCACUAGAAUCGUGAGUCUUUCUUUCGGCUUUGUAGGAAUAGACAUAGACUGGUGUUUGGCCUAGGCUUGUUUUUCUUGUGAACACACGCUUGAUUAAAUCUGGACUUUUCUCCGAUCUUGUGGAAAUAGAAAUUGACAGAAUGCAUGCUCUGCAAUGCUUGAAUCUUUUUGUAUUUUGAGGGAGAAUUUGCUUGUCAUGGGAAUUGCUUGAGAAUUUUGCUUGCCAUGGAUAAAUUGCAUGCUGCUUUGAUAUUUGCUUAAGCCUUUUCUUUGGCAUGAGCUUGACUUGCAUGCUUGGCGUAUACUUUGCAUGUGCUACGUUCUUGACCACCUUCUUUGAUUGAACUAUAUGCAUCAUGAGCAUAUGCUUGUAACUGUAUGAUUAAUACAUAGGGUUAGAGGCUGUUGAAAGUUGGAGGAGAGCACCAUUUGUUUCCUCUUUUGAGCUUAGAGUUUGGACAUGGCUAACCUUUUUUUCUUGGCUUUAUAGGGAUAGAUAUAAACAUGUAUAUGAUGGGUCUGCAAGAUUGUCAUGUAACUCAUAGGGAUUUUUUUGUUUUUGUGAAAAAGGUUACUAGGAGGUAAGUGGUGUUCAGUUUGUAACACUUGCUUUGUGAAAAGGGUCUGCUGGAAUGAUUGAUUGAGCAUGAAAUGGGAACUUUGCUUGUCAUAAGCUCGAGUAAUAGAUUGCAUGAUGCUUCAAAUUUUUUUUUUUUUGUUUAUGCAUUUCGCUUGGCAUGAGAUGGCUUGCUUUGCUUGGCCUGUGAAGUUCAUAUAGCUUGCAUGCUAGCAUGGAGAUUUCUUGGCUUUAACACAGAGAACCUGCUUCAUACUUUGCCCUUUUACAGCAUAUUCCUCGUUGGUAAUUCUUGCAGGGACUCACAUAAUAAGUCCCAAUGACCUUUGUGAUGAGUGAUAGCCUAUUUCCUCUUGCACGACGGGUUGAAGAAUGGACAACUACCUUCAUAGCUUAGAAACACUUACCAAGACUCGAUCAUAGGCACUGAGUAAGCUUAGGAAGCUACUCUCAUUUCCAGGUGUUGUAUAGAAGAAAGACAUGUUUCAGGCGGCCACCUUAUUUUUUAAUACCCUUGCAGCAUCACUAAGGGCUGGCCACAGUGGUUCGAUCGCGAGUUGACAGCCCCGACUACCAAAGAUGUUUUGUCAAGGAAACAUCGUUUUUGACCUUACAGCAGCGUGCUGAAAGGGCUUAAGCGUGUGUCUUAUUAGGAUUUUGCAUGGACUUCCGGCUGAAUACUUAGAAGAAGCACACAUUAUUAUUAUUAUUAUUAUUUUUUAAGCACGAGCUGCUUGUAGCAUGAAGAUGUAUGCAUGAUCCCCUUAAGCAAGAGUUGUCGUUAAUGCGUUAAGCCUUCAGGAACAUGAAUUGGAGAGCCAGUGCCGUAAGCUAUGAGACCUUCUCCUUGACAAAUAAGCGAUUGAGAAUGGCGCUCGGUGCAUGGUGGAAACAUCGAAAGGAUCAUCUAAUAGUGCUUCUUCUAUUCUGUUUUAGUCAUGCACCGUGAUCUAGUUGAGAUAUCCGAUUCUCCUUCUUCGCACCGUAAUAUAUAUGUAUAUAUAUUCUUUUAAUAGAAAGGGCAUAUCUUCCAGCACCAUCUUUCUCUACCACUUAUUCUUAUUUCAUUUUGCAUGCUGCAUUUCUUUGUUGUAGGGGCUAGCUGGCUCAGUGUGUAGUAGCUUUUCCUUUUGAAACUGUAGGGUGUAUCGAUCUUUAGCAUAGUUGACUGCAUUUGGGCUCGAGUUGUACCCCUUUUGUUUGGAGAGCCUAAAGCUCAUGUUGUUGGAAACUUGGAACACAACAUUGUUGCAUACUUUAUAUCAUAACUCUUGAUGUAGAAUGCUUGAGAUAUUGAGCUUCGGCCUAUUUUGUACGCUUUGCUCGGUUGGAAACAAUGAAAUGCAUGAAUUGUUGCAAUUUGGAAUGCAUUGAGAUAAAGAUUUCCAGCUUGUUCUGUACACUCUGCCUGGCUGAAAUACAUGAGUUGCUUGAGAUUUCAUCAGGUCAGGUUGUGGUAGGUGCAAGGUACAUGCUGCCAAUAUUUCUUUUUUUCAGGUUGAGAGCAUCUCACAAGUCGCGGAGGAUACACUUCCUACUCCUCCUCUUGGGACGUCUGGCGUAGCUGCCUACACUGCCAUGCGCCUUCCAGCAGCGCAGCCUCCUGCUCAUCCUUUCCUAAACACAUCUGACACAACUGCUGGCACCUCUCCACAGCUUCCAGCAGUGCUGCCUCCUUUCCUAAGCACAUCCGACACAACUGUCGGCACCUCUCCACAGCUUCCAGCAGUGCUGCCUCCUUUCCUAAGCACAUCCGACAUAACUUCCGGCACCUCUCCACAGCUUCCAGCAGUGCUGCCUCGUGGUGAGAUUAUUGAUGACAGCCAUAAGGAGGAUGAUGUUUCCAUUUCCAUGGGGCAUUUAUCGGAGGAAAGCAUGUCUUGGCAAGAUUGGGAGAAUUCCUUCAUGGCGUUCAAAGCCUUUUUUAAUGGUGGUGCUAAGAUAUGUGAGGCCAUAACUCUGGGCUUUCAUGUGGACUUCCCCAUCAAUCUCGUGAGGAACCUAGCAUGUGCUGUCUUUGGAGUGCGGGCCAUUCAUAGCAUGAAAUUAUCACAUGGUUCUAGUGAGGUGAAAGCUGCUGCCGACACUUUGAACAUUAAGCAACAGGAAUUGGAUAGCCAGCGCAGGGAAGUGCAUGCCUUUUUCCUUGCUAAGUGCGUGACGGAGACAACAACCAGAUCAUCUCCUAGGGCUUCUUUCGUUCUUUUUGGGCAUUCUUCAUAGCUUCAAGGUAUAUAAUUCCUCUUUUUUUUAUUUUUUUUAUUUUAUCGGGUUACUCCUUCCAGCAUCACUUGAUCUUGACACACGUCUUCUUCUUGCAGGUCGUCUCCUCUUGGCUUGGUGACUGAUUAUCUUGGCGCGUGGUUCUGUUCCCUUGAAGACCAUAGGCUGCAUGGGUCUUUAGCAUGUGUAGUUUUAUCUUGCUUUGACUAUAGUUUUUUUUUUCGUUUUCUUUUGGACACUCUAACGACCCUGUCGUUAUGAAUUCGUAAUGUAGUGUUGAAUCACUGGAGCUUGUAUUAACUUCCGAAUGCUUGAGGCAUGUUGUAAUUUGCAUGUCUUAUAUAUAAAUAUUGCUUGGUUGGCAAAAUUUAUUUUUAUGAGCUGCUGGAGAUUUUCUGACAGGUUAGAUAUCCUUAAAAACAAGGUAUAUGCCGCCAAAAUUUUGUCUGACCACUAGGCCUGAAAAACACCCUCUUGUCAUACCCAAAAAGGGUCAGACUAGUAUAUGCAUGGUCUUUGUAAAAUUCCCAGAUAUUUUGCAUAUUCUGGUUGCUCAUCAAAAGGGGACAAUGGUUUCGUUGUUCCAGCAGCUCAAGAAUGCAUGCCCCAUAUUAUUUUGCUUUGGCGUGGUGCUUGUUGAUGGCCUCGGACCCCAUCCAAGUGACUUUGCUUGGCAUGGUUACUGCUGAGGGGCUUAGCUUUUUUAAAGAAAAGUUUGCUUGUCUAUUUUUUUUUUAAAGAACAUGUUUUGCAAAACAAAAGAAGGUAAAAGCAUGGAAAGAAUUCUAUAGGCUUUUUUCAUUUUCCAAACUACUCCAAAUAUCAUCUUACCCCUUGGCAUGCCAUAACAGUGGUGCAUUCUUCAAAAGUCGUGAAAGCAUAUGAUGAAAACACAAAAGGAGUUCAUCUUUGAAAUAAAUUUGAAAAGCCAAAAGCAAAAGGAUAGGUGUAAAAGCAACUCAGCAGUCGUAAGGCUUUGAGCCAUUUUGCAUUGAUAAAUACUCCCAUCAAAUUAAGCCCCCAAGUAUGAAAGGGCCAAGGAGUGUGCAUGUCUUGUAAUAGCAUGAAAGCUUGUGGCUUAGAUUGGCAUGUACUUGGCAUGUGUUGUAGUAGGCUGCCAUGCCGUGCAGAGAUAUUUAACAGAGCCACAGCUGCUGCUUUACAUCAUACAGAUCAUAAUCCAACUAAUCAAAGAGUGAUUUGCAGCUCAUAACCCAUUGUACUUUCUUCAACUUUUGUGAGGUUAUGAGAGGUUACGGCAGCUGUCUCUUGAUAAUCUUGCUAACCAAAUGAAGCCCCCAAGUGGCGUUCUUCCGGCAUGUCCAAUGUGAAUACUUCGCUGCUGGAAACAUUCUCCCAUCCAUCAGUAAGUGGCCAUGGGGUGCUAUAACUUGAAGAUUUUGAAUAUUUACACCAGUAAGCUUUCUCCAAUGUUUCCACAAGGCUCCCAAAUAGCCUUCGAUGGCUUUGGGUCAUUGCAUGGCGUGAUGAACUUAGGAUAUCCCUCUAUUGCAAUGUUGACAAUUUAGCAUGAUAGCAUGGCUUCUUCUCUGCGCUUCCGGCAGCUAGAAAUACCAAGUUCUCAUUUUUAUGUUGAUUGUGCUGCUUGAAAAGCUUGAUCUUGUGAUAUCUAGUUUUGCUUGAAAUGAUUGCAUCAAGUGAAAUGUUUGCAUGAUUUUGGAGAUGGAUUUUUUCUUCUUGGCAUGAUUCCUCUUUAGACCAUCUCCUAUGGCACAAUUUUGUUGUUGGCAUGGCUUGGCGCCACUGAGCGUGUUGAGAUGCUGAUCGGUGCAGGAACAUAGGGUCCCAUGCUCCUUGAGGCUUGUGGUGUAGAGAAGUGUACUCAUCGUCUUUAAAAGGACAAAGUGCUUGACAGAUAUAUAAUUUUUGCAUGACCAAAGCAGAUGGUGGUUAAAAUAAUACAUGUGUUGCAGCUUGUAAAUGAAUAUAAUUGAUAUUUGUCGAUUUCAAAUGAAUGUCAUCCAACAUCAUUAACUAACGAAUGAAUCACACAUCAAUAUUAAACCAACAUAGGUUGCUUUCAGUAAUAUGCAAGCAUGUGAUGCUUUGGAAAUUAUUAAAGCACGUGAUGAUACUCGUGCUUUGAGUAGUGUGUAAAUGCCUAGUGUUUGUAUUCCUUUCAAAGUGAAAGACAAGAAAUAAAGGAAGCUGAAUAGCCCAACUUCACUCUGUUGGUAUUGGCCUAAAACAUGAUUUAUAUAUAUAUAAGAAAAAAAAAAUUAUCAUUACAUGUUUAUAUUUGAAUAGAUGACAUGCUUGUGCUGCUUUUACAAGUAUGGCAUAUGGCAUGAUAAUAUAUAUUUUAUUGUGAAAUCUUAAAAAGGUAGGAAAGAAAAAGAAAGAUCUUCUUAUCUUUGGCCUCCAAUAGAGAGCAUGUGGAGUGUGGAACCGAGAUUGGCAUAGAAAGUCAGGGCAUUCUGUGGGCAGUGCUAAAGAUGAAGGUGAUGCAAGCAGCGUUCCGAAGAGGACUUGUUCAAUCUUGAGUUGCAUGGAUAAAUUGAGCUUUGGGGGUUAAGGAGCAUAUAUACUAGCAUGAUGUUUGAAAUAGGGCAGGGGUUAAGAAGAUUUGAAAUGAGGUAAGUGCCAUAAAUUCUUUGCUCGUAGAGUAAGGGCUGGAAGAAUGUAACUUGGCUUGGAAUGAUAUAGUUGGACUUGCUGAUGUGAAUAAUGUUCACACAACUCUUGGAACCAAGGCAUAGCUUAGUUUAGCAUGAGAAACUUUGAAGUGCUUGUGCUUGACUUUUUUUUUUUAAUUGGCAGGAAGCCCCCAAGUCAUUUGGAAUUGAAUUUUGACUCCUCUUUUUUUUUUUUUACAGAUUUGCUUGGCACGAAACCCCCAAGUAUUUUGGAGUUUGCAUGUGUAGUUCGCUCAAAGGCAUGAAUGAUGAAUUUGCCAAAGCCCCCAGCCCUCUUACAAGAUCUUGUUUUACUUAAGAAUGGAGAUCUAAGGCAUAAACAAAGGGAGCAUGUGAGCAAUCGAUAUCAUGUUUGUUCUGCAAAGCAGAUAGCCAAAAAAAGAAAAGGAAAGAAGGAAUGCUCUUAUCUCUUUAUUUUCUUUGGUUUAUUGUUUCUAGCAGCAGCUCUUCCAACGAUGGUGUUUGAAUGACAAGCUUGGCUCUGUCCUUCUUCCUUGGAGGCAUUGAUGAAGAUAAUGGCUUAAUCCCCAGCAGAGUCGCCAAUUUAUGUGGGGGUCUUUUUCUUCCGGCAGCUGCAAAUAGGCUGGGCUGCCGUAAAGGGGAAAUUACUGGAAUUGCCCCCUGUGCCUGAGUUCGAAAAUUAAGCCCCAAAAGCACUUCGAAAGGGCAGUAAAGCCUUAGGAAGUGUUCUGGUUACCUUUACCAACGAAAAUGAUGGCUGCUUACAGGUGAUUUAUGCUUGCUUACAGAUAAAGUUUUAGCUUAGCAUGAGGAGAUUGUGGCAUGGGAGCAAGGUCAGCAUAAGUUGAGCACCAAAGAGGAAAAUAAGGCUUCCUAGGGAGAAAUGGGAGUGUUUAAGAUGAGGGAGACAAGGUUUGCAGGAUGAUCUUGGCUAAAAAGGGGUAAAGGAAGGGCAUUACUUCUUCCGGCAGCUUGACAGACUCUGAAAAUAGUCUGUUAACAGAGAAGAACGAAGAAGAAGAGUGAAUAGGGCUACUGGAUUUUUUCCAAGUAAGAGAGGAAGCUUGCUCUCUCAGCCUGGGUUGGUUUUUGCUAGGUGGAAGGGACCUCCUUUUAUAGCUGAGGGAAACCUUCAUUCCCCAAGAAAACCUAAUGGUUUCUUCCCCAACUUAGCAAGUUUUUUCCUUCCCUUUUCCUGUCUUAUCUUGACUUUUCCCUAUUUUGGUAAGACUUCCCAGAUCAAUUUGCACAAAAUUAGGAAUUUUGGAGCUCAAGGCCCCCUUUCCCGCGGCUGCUCCAGUGGAGGUUUUCCACUUCCAGCCAUUUUAUUUUCCUUUCUUUCUCACUCCUUCCUAUGACCAGUUUUGAUAGGGAAGGAGUUGGGAUGUGUAUGUUGGUUUGAAGAGUGUCUCUCUUCCUGGCAGCUUGCAUGUUAACAUCCAUUGGUUUCUCUGGUGUUUUGUUUUGGAACUUGAUCUCUUCCAAUGUGUUGUCACUUCCCAGCAGCUCUAUUCAAUGAUUCUGCAGACCUCUACGUGGCUUCUAUUUUUUCCAGCAAAGGGCUGAGAUUUUUAUGGCUUAUUUUUGGGGUUUUUGUAUGGGCUAAAGUGGUUUCUUAAGCAAGUGGGCUAUUUAAACAUUAGGCUUUUGGUUGGGCUAUCCUUUGACUGGGCUAAUUUUGGUUGGGUUAUUUUGGUUGAGUUAUUUUGGUUGGGUUAUUUUCUCUUUUGUGCUCACCCACAUGUUUGGGCCUAAGAAAUGGGCUUGGGUUCCGAGGCUCCCAAGCAACCCGGAACCUCCAUUUCUUGACCCAUCAAUGGGCCUCAUGACGACCUAUUACCAUCCAUACCACAACCCACUCAAGCAAGCCCCGGGCAUCUUGCGUGGCUUGGGCCCACUUAAGCUUGUAGCAUGGCAUGUUGUUUAUUUGCUUGGCGUGGCAUGUGUAUAAGCGCAUAUGGCAAACUUUCGCGUGCCCCAAAUUGGGUUUCUUCUCGGUAAGAUAUCGCAUUGGGCUGAGAAUUUAUUUGGGCCGAAGCGUGGAUUUUUUUUGGGCCUCAACACUCAACAAUUGAAGACAACGACAACGAGUCGUUGUUGUUGUGCAGUCCUCCAGAACAACCCGUGAGGUCCUCGGCUAUCGUUUUUGUCGAGACGAUUUAUUGAGAUCGAGGCUACUUUGAUAUCACUAUACAAUUCUACCAUAUUCUCAAUCUAAUACCUUCAUCCACAAAUCUACAAGCAAAAACAAAAAUAUGAAGAAAAAAAUAUAGGAGAAUGGGGUGAUCCAAUUUGGCGAGCUCAGGCUUGGUCCCUUGAAAAAGUGUCAGAGCCAACAGUGGAGAAGAGACAUAGACAUCCGCACAAUGAAAAAGUCCAAAGAGGAAUAUGAUUUCAAAAUAAAAAAUGGAAGAACAAAAACUGAAAGUUGGGGUUGAAGAUGAAGAUUGGAGACUAGAGCUUGUGAAAAUGAGCUCUCCUCUUGCUUCAAUGCCUAAUAAAGGGAUUAGAAUUCCAAUUUUGUGUUAAAAGGGCAAUAAAGGUAUUUUAUUUUAUUAAUUAAAUUAAUAAAUGUACAGCUGUCAAUUUUCGAUUUUUGAAUUUUUUUGGGGCUUGUUUAUAGAAAUUAAAUGGUAUAGGAUUUCUUUAUAGCAUUAUGUCUAGUAAUGAGUAUCUAACUAAAUUUGUAAUUUAUAUUAACUAGAUUUGUAAUUUCUCUAUUUCAUAAAGCCUUCAAAAGUUUCGAAUGAUCAUUUUCCAUAGAUUUUUCAAAUAUUAAAAAUACUAAUACAUUUGUUGAUUCGAGAGAAUACUUGCCAUCCUAAAUGAAUAGAUACAUGGUAAAUUAUAAUUACGAUAAGAUUAGCAGCUAAUGUGUGCGAAAGUGAUAUUGAAAUCAACAUGCAGAGUUAAAUCUUUCGUUCUCUUAUUUUUAUGUUCAUUACUUGGAUGGCAUGUUUACUAAUCCAAUUAGGAGGAAUUGAAUUGAAUUGAGGAGUUGGAUUGAGGAAAAUUAGAUUCCGGAUUCCUAUUGAGUUUGUUUACUAAACUAUAUGAAUUGAGGAGAGUUAGAUUACGGAUUCCUAUUGAAGUUGUUUACUAAAUCAUAUAGAAUUGGGGUAGGAGUGGUACUAAUUACUAAAGGGUUAUUGACCAAAAUGGUUCCCCAACUAUUGCUCCAGUAUCAUUCUGGUCUAUCAACUAAAUUUUUCAUUUCAAUAGUCUUUCAACUAACAUAGUAACUAAAGUUCCAUUCACAUAUUUUUUUUUUAUAAUUAUAUUGGGUCGGUGUUUUACUGCCAGUCAUAAGUUUUGUGUUGGAUGCAGUACUCAUACUGGAGUUUGCUCCCAAAAAUAUAGCCAUCCCUACCCCCUCACGUCAAUCCCACGAGCCUCGAUGUAUUGUUUCAUUGUGAUAUAAUCUAAAUCGCAAUGUAAUUUUCUUGUUCCUAAAUGGGCUUCAUGAUCAAGAUACGGGUCAAAUAAUAAAUAUUCCUUUUUAGGUGGUCUACGAGCUGCUCUUCAUUUGGUAUCAAGACGGUCUUACCGUGAUAGAUUCUACCACUUCUGAACAUGCGAUGGCCACGUGACUAAGUUUUGAAGGGUAUAUGCAACUUUUUGAGAGGCUCUAUCCUUUAGAAGCAAAAUACCUAAAGUUUGGUGGAUGGUUCAAUUAUUUUAGGCAAUUACCAUGGACUGAAAGGGAUUCUUACAUGAGUCGCUGAAUUGGUCCAUGCUCUAGUAGUGUGCGAAUCACUAAAUUGGUCAAGUUAGUGUGUAAUUUCAGUGUUAAUUUUGGAGUUCAAAUUUGGGAGUUUGUGUUAGGGUUUGAUUUUGGGGAUUUUGAGAAAUUCACUGCUUGCUGAUAAUGGAGUUCGAAUUCCGUUCAGGUGGAGAGGCUCCAAAAUACGGUAAGGGCUUCUGUAAUGCAUUUCAUAUUGUUUUUGUUUGCAAAUAGAUGAGUUGUCCUUGAAUGGAAGUGUGAUUUCUUUAUGUGUGAAAGAUUCAUUUUCCUGUGUUUGUGUUCGGCUUUUUGGUUGUUUUAUGUUUAAAGUAAGGGUAAAGGAAUUGUUUUCUUGUAUAUGGGUUUAGCUUUAUGCUACAUUAACUGCAGAAUAUGUGUUUUUUUUUAAACGUCUGUGGUCCCUUGGUUGUCUGCUUCACACCAAACUCAGUAAUUGUUGUCCUUAACAUUAACAACAAAACUGUGACUUUAAAUUAACAUAUUGUUGUUUCAAUUUUGCAGCUACCAAUGGAAUGUUCACUAUAGAAUUACAUCAUGGGGGCUGGUUUGAAAAUGGGGUUUAUAAAAGGAGUAAGGUAUGUAAUUUGGACAAUAUUGUAGAUGAUUUUCUGUCCUUGUUAGAUUUAAUGAAAAUAGGGAGAGCUCUUAGGUAUGAUGUUGACAUUUCUCAAGUUCAGCAAAGUUUGAAAGUUAGGUAUAGAAAUGUUGAGGGUGAACUGGACUUCUUACAUUUGAUGCUAAAGUGGUUGAAAUUGUUGGUCACAUACCAUCCAAUAAGGUUAUUGUGUUAUACUAUGGUCAGAUUGAAAUUUUUAAUGGAGUUGGGAGUCAAGCAUCUGUUAAGUGGCCUAGUUUGGAAUGGAGAUUAUGACUAUGAUGUAGAUGCAGAGAAUUGUGGUGGGGAUGUGACGUUGCCUUUCAUUGAUGAAUUGGCAGAUAAUGACUUUUCCCAAGUGAAAGAGGUGGGUUAUAAUGAAGACGAGGAGACUUUUGAGAAUGUUGGGACAAAAUUGGAAAAUGAAGAUGCAGGGGCAGAAUUCCCAAAUCAAGAUGUUGGGGCAAAUAUGACAAUUGUUGAUGAAGGGGAAGAAUUGCCAAAUAAAGAUGAGGAUUCAAAAUUUAAAGAUAGUGAUUAUGAGUUCAAUGAAAAUGAGGUAGAGGUCAGGGCAACUGUUCAAGAGAAUAUAGCAGAUGAGGGGACUACUCAUGAGGCUCCAAGAAAGGUGUCAUCACAUGGUGCUAACACAUUAGAAUUUGACACUAGAAGUGAGAAAGAAGAUGAAGGUAAUGGUAGAAAAAAAAAAAACUGCCAAAGUUUAAGCAGUAUAGAAAAGAUGUAGAUUUGAAAAAUCCUGAGUUUAGAUUGGGAAUGAAGUCUGCAAACAAAAAACUACUGAUAGAGGCUAUCAAGGAGUAUGCAAUUAUACAUGGUAGGGAAGUGAAAUUGAUAAAGAAUGACAAGAGACAAGUUCAGGCAAAAUGUGUGGAAGGCUGUUUAUUCCAAGUAUAUGGAUCAAAGAUUGAUAUAGAGGAAGGGACAUUUGCAAUAAAAGAUUUGAGCCUAGAUCCUGAGUGUGGGAGGGUGGACAAGCUUAGGUAUACCACAUCAAACUGGCUUUGUGACAGAUAUGCAAACAAGCUCAAGCGAAACUUAGAGUUUGAUAUGAUAUCAUUUGAAGAAGAUGUGUUGGAAGAUUACAAAAUAAAUGUCACAAAAAUUCAAGUUUAUAGGGCAAAGAAGCUGGCCAAAGAUUUAAUUGAAGGUACUUACAAAGAAUAAUAUGAUGGGUUGUGCGAUUAUACAGAAUAAUUGAAGAAUGCAAACAAGGAUGGUACAAUUGCAAUUAAAACUCGGAUUAUGAGGGAUGAGACAGUGUUUCAGAGGAUUGCAAUUAAAACUCUCUCUUUUUUUCAUGAACCAUUUCUUUCAAUUUCUCUUGUAGUUCUUUCUUUUAUGAUUCCAUAGAUCUCAAAUUUUCCUCCUUUGCUCUACCUUCCGCCUCCAUUGCUCUAAGUCUUCUAAGCAAACCAGGGACCACUUGUUUUCCUCUUGGACAAGUUUCAUCAUCCACCCACUUGAAAAAAUGCAUACCUCUUCUGCUAUUCUGCAAAUAACCAAUUUCAGACCUCACUAAGAAAUUGGAGGGAAUCGUUUCAGCAUGUGGCUUGGUCGUUUUAAAGGAGGGUACUGACCUAAAAAUACUGUUUUGUCCCUCGAUUUCACCUAAUAGUUCACAGACUUUGACGAUAGGACCAUCUUCAUACUAAAUGAAGAGUUGAAAGACUAUUGAAAUGAAAAUUUUAGUGGUAGACCAAAAUGAUACUGGAGCAAUAGUUGAGGGACCAUUUCGGUCGAAAAUCCAAUUACUAAAAUUUCCUCGUUGUUGGGUUACAGUAGAUGAUAAAUUUGGAAUUUUUAAAAUUGUGUGAGGAUAUAAUGGGUAAAAAAGAUGAAUUCCUAAUGGAUUAGUUCUCUAAGAAUUAGAAUACCACCCCCUACCCAAGAAUUGAAUUCCUCCAAAAGCAAGAAUUGAAUUCCUAAGAAAGUUUUUGUAUUGAUAUUUUUAUACCUUCUAGGUUUGAGAGAUCAACAAAGAAAGCGAAAGAAACAGCUAAAUAGGGGAGAUUGAGCUGAAUGACUAAUUCAAAUUAUGUUUCUAAGACCAACAACAUAAGCAUGUGAGCGUCUUUCUUCUCGUACUUCAUGGGAAUGGCCAUGAGGCUGAUCUUCUUGGGGGGCCUUGUCUAGCGUGAACCCUUCGCUGAGGGCCCAUGCAGGUGUGAACAUCGGGUUGUGGGCCUAGCCUCUCGUGUACGUUGAUCCUUAGACUUAAUCUCGAUUGGAGACUCGAUCUACUUUAAGCGAGGCUCGCGGAUGCUUGCGACAUACUGACGUGCUAAGCACACUUUUGUCCUUCUCCUUGUCUACUUGCCCCUGCUCAACCUACAUGAGACCUCUCAAACUGCCUGCGGGUGCUUUUGUCCAUCCUUCUCUAUUCGCCUUGCAGUCUAAGGCCAAAGUCUCGAACCAAGUCAAUCUGGUUGAGGAGCUUUACAACCAAGUUAUUUUGGUUGUCCACUUUUUGAGUCAACUGGUCAAAUCUAAGACUGAGGUCUUGUAACAUCCCACAUUGACCAACAAAGAGGAGGUAAUGUGCAUUAUGUGUACAUGCCCGCCUCCAUCUAGCACCAGGCCUUUUGGGAGCUCACUGGCUUUGGAGUCAUGGGAAUUCCGAAGUUAAGCGAGUUGGGGCUAGAGCAAUCCCAGGAUAGGUGACCCACUGGGAAGUUGCUUGUAAGUUCUCAGAAACAAAAUCGUGAGAGCAGAGAGGGGGCCCAAAGUGGACAAUAUUAUGCUACGGUGGAGCGAUCCCAGGAUGUGAUAGGUUUGCUUGACUUUGUGGAUCAAGAAGAGAGAAUUGCUUGGAGCCCAAUUUCACGCGGGCUAGGGUUUCACUAGAGGUGUACACGGGAGCAUACGUUUAGAAUUACUUAGAAUGUCUUGUGUGGCUAUGUAUUUAUAGCCUCCUUGUGUGCUAGGGUUUUGGGAGAAUAAUCCUUAUUUGGUUAGAAUUAUUCUUCCCUAAAAAGAUGAUAGGAAUUACUCCAAUAGAUUUAGUAGAUAUUGGUUCCUUGAUAUAGGGAGAUAUUCGUAUCUUAAGUCAAAGAUAAUUUUCCUAAUUAAAUAGAAAUUAAUUGGGGUAAUUAGUUUGACCUAAGAAAUAUUCUUUUUCCACGUGUCGUCUUCUUAUUGGCCAGUGAAAUAUAUGAUCCCACAAACUCCAUGAUUAAACCACUCAAGGGGAUAACGUAACAUCCCAUCCCAAAAAUUAAUGUUUAAUUGCUUAUUUAUUGUGAAAUUACAUUUUUGCCCUUGUGUGUACCGGCAUUUUAGUCACUUUUUAUUCAGAAAAGAAUUUGGGGAAUUGAGCGGCACCAUUGCGUAGAUCUUGACGAUACAAGUAAGUAGACAGGCGGCACGCUCAAUUCUGAGUUGUAACAAAUGAGUAAAGGUGUAGAAACAAAAAGAUGUAAUGGGAAUUUUUCAAAUUUAUUGUUGUGCGCUACAAUACCUACUACAGUAACCAGGAUUUCUUUUUAUUUUUAUACUUCUUCUUUCUUUCUCCCUCCCUCGCGAGAUUUUUUCUUCUUCCUCUGUCCAUUCACAACAGUCACUGCAGCAAACAGUGAUUGUUCGACUUCCUGGCCUCCAAUAGAUGACGUCGUGCAACAGUUGGCCGCGCCACCUUCACGAAAAAUGUUCAUCGAGUCCUCCUCUACCAAGCCUAGGGAUAACAUCAACCAUCAAGCAUUUCAGCAAUUUUAACGAAAAAUAGCCUAGGUGGCUUUGUCUUUUUUUCCUAGCGAUUUUUGGGUGUUUUCCAUCGAUUUCGAUGGCCAAAUCCGUCAAGUGAGGUAUGGAAAUUCAUCCCCUCAUCAUGCUCUACUUGUUUAUGUAGUUAUUUUUGGUUAAUUUUGGAGUUUUGGAUAUUGAUUUAAAUACCCAUAUUGGGCCAACGGUUUUGGCCCUUUUUCACCCAUUUUCGGCGGCUUUUUGGCCUAGUCCGAGACCAAAAGUUGCUCCCCUUGUAAAUUUGAAUGCAUUGGUAUAGGUAUUGGCAGGUAGUUUGAAAUCUCUCAAGACACCCACCGCUGCAGGUGGCAGGUGGCUAUGUGUGGGCAACUUGGUGGCAGUUUAUAGAGUUCCAAAAUGCUCCCCAUGUCGCGAGCACGACGGUAUGCUCGGAUUAGCAAUUGGACAUCAUUUGACUAUCGAAUGGAUAUUACACCUAUUAGGUGAUAUCUGGGUUCGAUAGGUUCAGACCCGUCUGAUCAGUCUCAUUUUCAAAUAUGUCAUUCUUCGUAUCUCUACGAUCAUGUAGAAACUGGUUGAUCGAGAAUCUGACUUCCGGAUACUCCGGAUUAAUGAUUUUAGGGUUAAGUACUAAUUCGACGUCCAAUCUUUCUAUCGUGAGUGAUCCGACCGCUAAAUCGAGACCAAACUCUCGAGACGUGUAACGUAGACCUUGUUGGACUUAUAGGAACGUUCGGAUCGGAAAUCAAUGGUUGUGGGCCCCGUGGGUCCAAUUGGUCAAAUUCCUCGAUCGUGGUCAAACCGAUCUUUGGAUUGUGACAAGACUUCUAAGAUGGGUUUAACUUAUGGUUAUGGACCAAUAGGAAUUGUCAUAUAACAAAUUGAGGUCGUGGGCCCUACGAGCCUAGUUAGCUAAGAUAGUGGGCUAUGUCGGCUCGGUUGAGGCCAUUUAGUAGUUGUAAUUGUAAUUGGAGGUUUGUUUUAAAUUGGUAUUAUACUUUGAGAGUUUUAUUAAAUGUUUAUGACUUACUAUGCAAUCGCUUUUACUUUCCAAUCAUGUUAUAUUAUGUUUAAUUGUGUAGAAUUGAGAAUGACUUAGAUAAAUGGGUUUUGGCAUGAAUAAGGAAUUAAUUAAAUGCUUGAUUUUAUGUCUAUAUUUAAAUAUAUGCUCGGUGGCUUGAAAUCGAUGAAUUAUGAAUACUAGUUUUCUCAAUAGUAUGUUGUACAUAUUUGAAUGUAGGUUGAGAACAGUUUUGAAAGAUUAUGCAUGGUCAAAUUCAAGUUAAGGAAUGUUGGGAUUGAUCUUGUUUUAAAAAGGGAUUUUUGGUUAUCUAUUUAAGAACUGAUUUUUUGGAAAGUUGAGAAAAGAUUUGGAAAAUAGAUUUGUGAAAGUGGAUUUGAGGGAAAAGAGGAAUUUUAUGAUAAGUUUCGGAAAAUGGUUUUCAAACCCACCACAGGAGUACCCCUCCGGUUGCCUUCGGAACAGUCUAGUCAUUUAUGACAAUGCACCACGAGUCUCGGGGACGCCUGAAUCAUGUGGUGUGAGGAUUUGCAUUCUCAGGUUGAUUAUAUCUUCCUAAGUUCUGUGAGGGAAUUUGACGGAUUUGCUUUUCGGGCUGAUCACCCGAUUCUGCAAGGAUAUGCGUUCUAGGGCUGACCACGUGUCCCCGAGUUCUGCGAGGAAAUGAGUUCUCGGGCUGACUACGUGUUCCCUGAGUUUUGCGAGGAUAUGUGUUCUCGGAUUGACCAUGUGCCCCCCGAGUUCUGCGAGGAUGUAACAUAUAUGGUACUUGAAAUUGACGGAUUAUGAUUUGGGGUACGCCUAAGUGGAGAGUAUUUGAGUUUUGAGAUGUUUUAAACUAAAAUUGAUAAUUUUAUCUUGGUAUUUAUUGGUGAAAGUUUUAAUACAUGUUUUCAGAUUUAUGAGACAAAAAUUGAGAGUUUUCUAAGUUUUAAUAAUUUUAUACAAUUCACAACUAUUUUCUUAAGUGAUGAGUUUGUUUUAACAUGUGAAAGAUGGAAGCAUGUUUUAUUCAAACAGUUGAUAUUGAUAUUGAGGUUUCACGUGGCCAAUGUUAUUUUAAUAAUUUUCUUGUUUUCCUACUUAUCUGUAAUGAGCUAUUAUAUGUAUGUAUUUGUAUAUGCACAUAUGUGAUGGGUGGAAGAUCAAUAUCUUUUGUUUAAGUUUUAGCGGAUUGAUUAGAGUUUGAAGCUUUUGGUUUUAGGAAAGUGUGAAAGAAUAUUUAAUUCAUGUGCUUACAUAUGGGUUGAACUUUAUUUUCUUGUAUGAAGAACUACAUGUGGCUUGAUCCCUUGGUAAGGGUACGCAGGCAACCUAGAGUUACUAGGUGCAGCAGCAAGAUCAAGUGCUGAAAAUUUGUUCAGUUAGGUCAUUUUGGAAAUUGUUAACAUAUCCAUGUUGUUCUAAGAGUUGAGACCAGAUUCAGAUGGUUGAAUGAUUUAUGUGGUAUAAAGAGGCCUGAUGCCAUUCAGAUUUAAUUGUCUGAUGCAUGCUGAAUGAUUGGGAUUUUUUUUUUAAACUGCAUAUCUUUUUUACAGGUGAAAAUUUAUUAGGAAAUGUCCGUUUUUCAAGGGAGAUUCUACCGGUUUUCUAGCGACGUUAAACCCCUAAAGGUGUUUUCGUUUUGCAGUUCAGGGCAAAAAUGGUAUUUUGGUCAUUUAUGCACGGCACCUGCCAAGUGUGGGACACGCACAGGGUUGGAAUUUGGGUCGGGUCUUGUUAGAUAAAGUCCAGAAUAUGGUAGAUGCCAUUUAAAGAAUAUAUGUUCCGAUUAUCAUCUUAGACUAGCAAAUAAGGAGCAUGAAUUCCUAGCAGUUACACAAUUGACAAAUCAAAGCCAAUAAGCAUAGAAUAUAAAUUCACAAUCCUUUCUGUAUUGAGAUCUUAUUACUCUUCGUGAUUAUGAGUCAUUGCAUCAUUAAUGACAACCUUUUAUGUAUGUAGGACUAUUGCAUUCAUUGAGAAAUUAUACAUGGAAAAAAAUUCCACUCAUUAACCAUUUCAAAAUUAGUUUUUAGGGCUAGAAACUUUUGACAACCAUUAAGGCACUUUCAUAUUUUUCAUUUAAUCUAUUGGCUCUGGAAAAAUGGUUAAAUGCCAAAAUAAUCUUUGUGUUAUCAAUUUCGAUAAUUUAGUCAUUGUAUUUUUAAUUUAGCCAAUUCAAUUCUCGUGUUUCAUGUUAGCCAAAAAACAAAUUGUUUAAAAACAAAACUAAGAUUGAAAAAAGAAACAAAACACUCUCCAACCAUGGAAGUGAUGGAAAGAGUAGGGGUAGGCAUCAAUAUGACUGAAUCGACUAAACUGAUUGAUUUAAACCAUAAUUAUCAAGUUGGUUCGUUUUGGCUAAGAAACAAUCAAAUGGUUUAGAAAUCAAACCAAAUUGUAAAUGGUUUGAUUUGGUUUGGUUUUGAGCUUUCGCAAACCGGCCUAAACCGAAUUGGACCUUCUACUUGUAUAUUUAUUUAUUUUAAUUUAAUUAUACAUGUGUAGUUCUUUCACUGGAUAAUAACUAGAUAUGGAUGUUGAAUUUUAAGUUUUAUGACAAUUUUUUUUUUUUGGAAAUACAGCGAUUACAAAUUAUAAAAUAUAGGGAGGGGGGCUCAAAGAUAACAUGAGGUUUCUAUCCUGGGUGCCAAGCAUGUUGGGUUCUUGUAUGGUUUGAUACACUAGAAAAUGAAAAAUAAAAAGGUAGCAUGUUGUGACUUUUUGUUGUUGUAAUUGGGGUAAAAAUGUUGAAAAAAAAAAACUAAAGGAAAAAUAAUUGGGCUUAGGCCCAAAUCAGCCGAACCAAAACAUCUUCAAUUGAUUUGGUUUGGUUUUCUUCAUAACUUUCGUCAAAAUCGAACCAAACUAAUUCGUUAUAUUGUAAUUGGUUCGAUCGCGAUUUUGUGAUGAAACUGAUCCAAUUCGAAUUGUACCCACCCCUCACAACUAACAUAGUAAAACACAUAAUCAAAUUGGCUCAUUUGAAAACAUAGGUACCACAUUGGUGAAAUGGAUAAAAUUUGUAGACCAUCUUAGUAUUUAACCCUUAAGAAAAUGCCCUUCCUUUUUUUUAGACUUUUCUCCAACCUACAAAAAAUUGGACUAGGCAAAUUCACCGAAAAAUCGCUCAAAUUGACCAAACCAAAAAUGCUAAAAACCAAGUUGUAUUGCUUGUAAUCUAUAUUGCACAGAUACAGAUAUGGGUACGCCGAUACAUAUGAUUCCCCGAUACGACAAAUCUCAAAACUAGAGUACGAAUACGCACCGAUACGGUGAUUAAAAUAAUAUGAAUAAUGCUAUUUGGACACACAACAUUGACCAUCUUAACUUACCACCUUAUGUGGCAACUGAUGUGUCAUGUCAUGUCAAUUAAUGAAUGCUGCCAUGAGACCACUCACUAGGAAUGCUAGGGUUUUUUAAUUUGUUUUUUAAUUGACAUGGCAACAUUCAUUAAUUGACAUGGCAUGACACAUCAGUUGCCACAUAAGGUGGUCAGUUAAGGUGGUCAAUGUUGUGUGUCUAAAUAGCAUUACUCAAAUAAUAUAUAUUUUAAAAGAUAAUAUAAAUAGGUCAAUAAUGGGCCCAAGGAAUCAUCAAAGUUUGGGCAUCUGGGUUAGACUUACUUAUAAGAACCCAAUUUGGUUCUCAUUCUUCGUAUAGUGUUCUAUUGUCAAAACAAAGCUAGCCCAUUAGGCCAUCUCCAGUCACAGAGCUAAAUGUAGUCCAGGGUUAAAAAUUUAGCCCUCCAAAAUAUUAAUUUUUUAAAGAAUAGUGCAUGGCUAAAUUUUUCCAUCUCCGCCAUGCAUGGCUAUAUUUUAGGGCUCUUCAUAUUUUAUUAUUUUGAGAAAAACUAUAGUACAACACUCAUAUAUUCCACAACUAUGGAUUAUUUAAUUUAAUUUAUAUAUUUUUUUAAAACAAAAUGAAUUUAACACAUUUUAAAAAGUUUUAAAUAAAUAAAUAAAUAAUAACUUUUCAAUUAACGAUUCUGACCUCCAACGAUUAGAAACCAAUUAUAUAUAUAUAUUUUAAAACAAAACGAAUUUUAAAACAUUUAAAAAGGUUAUUAAAAAUAAAAAUAAAAACCUAACGACUAGCUGACGUCAUUGAUGAUGUCAAUGCGCCUUUAAUAUUGGUUGUUAGAUUUGCAGUUACAUGAGAUGUUUCGUGCUCUUACCCACGCAUGAUACUUUCUCUUCAUGAAAAACACAUGGACUGAGCCCACAAAAAAAUCUGGCUUAGGCCGAAGCUAAGAUACAUUUGGCCUAGUUGGAGGGCUAAGGUUAUCUCCAGCCAUGGGCUAUAUCCCAAAUAUAGCCCUAAAAUAAUGCAAAACUCAUCUCCAACCAUGGGCUAAACAAAAUUUUGGCCAAAUUUGGAGGGCCACUUUCGGCCCUUUAGCCUUCCAACCGAGCCAUAUUUAGCCCAGCUUUGGCUUAUGACAAAUUUUUUGUGGGUCCCAUGCAUGUGCUUUUGAAGAAGAUAAAUUAUCAAGUGUGCGUAAGAGCACGAAUCAUCUCAUGCAAAUGCAUAUCCAACAACCAAUAAUAAAAGCGCUCAUGUCAUCGAUAUAUUUUUAAAAUCCUUUUUAAAUGUUUUCAAUUCGUCUUGUUUAAGAAAAAUUUAUAAAAAAUUAUUGGUCAUGAUCAUUGGAGGUCAAACUAUUGAAACCCAACCAUUUUUAUUUUAUUUUAAAUGUGGUCACCUUUUUAAAUGUUUUCAACUCGUAAAAAAAUUAUAAAAAAUUACUAGUCAUGACUGUUGGAGGUCAAACCAUUGAAACCCAUUGUUGUUGUUGUUUUUUUUUUUUUUGUAAAUAAAUGUGGUCACCUUUUUAAAUAUUUUCAAGUGUUGUUUAAAAAAAAUUAUAAAAAAUUAUUGGUCAUGGAAUACUACUGUCUCUAAAUAGUAGUUUAAUUAAAUUAAACAAUACAUAAUUAUGGAAUGUAUGAGUGUUGUACUAUACUUUUUCUCAAAAUAAUAAAAUAUAAAGGACCUAAAAUAUAGCCUUACAUAGCUGGAGAUGGAAAAAUUUAGCCAUGUUCUUUAAAAAAUUAAUAUUUUGGAGGGCUAAAUAUUUAGUCAGGGAUUACAUUUAACCUUAUGACUGAAGAUAGACUAUAAUGAGUGGAAAGUUAUAAGGGGUUCACUUUAUAGUCAUUAGAUCAAUCCAAGGGGUGGGGAGAAUUGAGAUAAAGUUUUACAAUCGGGUAGGUGAGGACCCAAACCAGAAUUUAAUAUCCAGCAGGUCAGAAAAAAAAGAAGAAAAAAGAGGCAAGUUCGAAGUUUGAACAGAAAAAACUCAUCGCUCCAAAACCCAUAGCUCUGAGAAACAACUAAGCUCUGAGAAACGGUUGAAGGCAACGGUUAACGACGGUUGAAGGCACCGGUUGAACGCCACUCCGUUCUCCAGACCCUGAAAAAGUAUUUAUUUUGAGUGGAAGGGACAAAGGUGUGGAUUCUGAAACAGUGAAGGGGCAAAGCAGUGGAAGGGGAAGGAGAGAAGCCGUAUUCGUUGGAAGUGAUAGGUUCCAUUUGUUGAGCAAAGCCACACAAACACCCCGCACAGACACCUUGCGAUUGUUCAAUAACCAGCAUUUGGUGAGUAAUUUAUGGAAUUUGAGUUUAGGGUUAGAGUAACGGUUUUCCCCAAUUUGUACCGUCAAUGUUGUUGGAUUUGGCAUCUCUUCUUUGUGCUUCACUUGCACGUCAAUUUUUGCUUGGGUAUAUGUUAAAACACGAAUAAAAAUCAAGUCAAUAACAUAUCAAUAACAGAUCAAUAACAUGUUAAUAAUUAUAUGAAUAAGAUAAUGGUGUUGAAUUGGAGGAGGCCCUCAAAACCUUCCACAUUUGAAGCAGUGCAGAGUGCAGAGUACCUCUCUGGCGCUAGAAUUUAUAUAUAUUUUUUAAAUAAAUAUUGUUUCAUUUGUUACUAAAUUUGCCUGUGAGAAAUGAGAACUGAUAAUAAUAAACUCAUGAAUAAAAGUGCAAAGCAUUUGAAAUAAAGGUUGAUCUAUGACGAUUGUGGCUGACUGAAGAAAAAGCUAGAAAGAAAGAAGGAUGUGGCAAUGGCUUAGCAAGCAGAUAGCAGAGUAGAUGCUUUGCUUUGCUUCCUUCCACUAUAUUUCUUAUUCAUUUAUUUAUUUUAUGUUGUGUAUGAGAUGACAAUAAUUGUCAUGUGUGUGAAGUGCAGAACUUGCCUAGAUUGCACUCACACUCACUUAUGCAUCAACCAUUGAUUGGAGUUUGGAUCCAUAAAUAAAACACAUGAAAUUGUUUGUAAUUCACAUAAUCAUUGCAUUAACAGGUAUUUGCACAAAAUUUGUCAUAUUGCUUUAAUGAUGUUAAAGCCUGUGAUCAGUAAUCCCUAUGCUCAUGUACUUUGUAAAAUUUGUAAUGUGCCUGGUUGACUAGUUAUGUAAAUACCAAUGUGAUUGUGCAAAUACGUGGUAGUAUAUGUGUUCACGUUAUUUCAUCUUGUAUUUCAGGAAAUGGGAUCCAAUGUGGAGCUGGUAUGGCCAGAGUCAGAGGCAUAUUCGUCACAGGUGAACAACUGCUCAUAUGCAAAUUCAUCUCUAGCUGCAAUUCGAGCGAAGUUGAGUGCGGAACAAUUAGAACAAUUCAAGACAUCAUGCUUUGGCCAUAUUCUGAAUAUAUAUAUAUAUAAGAUUCAGUUUAGCGGGCAGAUUGUGCAUGGGGUUGGGUUGCAUAGAGUAGUCGGCAGGGUGUGAAAGACUUGGAUGGACUGAGUUUCUUAAUAGGGUGUGACGUUGCUCAGUUCACUCGUCAGGAUUUUUGUUUGAUCACAGGGCUUCAUUUUGGGGAAGUGCCUGAAGUUUCCAAUAGAGAGAGUGAUGAAAUUAGACUUCAGAAAAGAUAUUUUAUAGACGAAUGAAUUACAUGUAAUGCUUUAGAAGAAGCAUUUCUGAGGUGCACAGAGGAAGAUGACAUCUACAAGCUAGCUCUUGUUUACUUUGCUGAGUUAGUGGUUUUGGGAAGGGACAAACAUUUGAACAUCAAUCUAAAUUACCUGACCCUUGUAGAGGACUUGGAUGCGUUCAACAGGUAUCCGUGGGGUUCGGUGUCCUUUGACAAAAUCCAAGACAGUCUAUUUUCUGCACCAACAAAGUAUGUGAAAAGCUUUGAAAAUGAAGAGGGAAGAGGGAAGGGGAAAAGUAAGGUAACGGGACCAAGCCGGAGAAAUGAGAAGGGCAAGAAGGAUAAGCAUGGUGAAAUGCAAAAGGGUGGCUGGAAUAUUAAAGGUUUCACGUAUGCUUUCCAGGUACAUGGUAAUAAUGUUCAUGUCAGUUAUGUUUUGUGGAUUUUAAAACUUAAAUAAUGACUUUUGUCCUGUGAAUUGUGUAGAUUUGGGUAUAUGAAUUAAUUCCUAGAAUGGCGGACCUGAAUUAUUGCAAGGUUGUUGAUCCGACAGCUGUCCCACGUAUUUUGCGAUGGAGAACUACUACGUCUGUUCUCGAGAUGAGAAAGUUGAACUAUUAUUUUUUUCAGAGUAAAGAGGUUUGGUUUGUAGCCCUUGAAACUAUUUAUAAGAUUCAAUGAAAUUAUGAAGUAGAAUGAUUGAAUAUGACUCUUGUCUGUAUUCUGAAACAGUCAGUUCAGUUGCUAGCACUAUGUCCGAGUGAAAAGAAAAUGAGACAACCAUAUUGGAGUUUAACACAGGAUCGCCCUGCUGUUGUCUCGGCAGAGUCAAUUCCUUCUUCAUGUGCUAACCUUGAUGAGUUGAACAAAGUGGUAAGCUUGUUGAGGUCCGAGUUGUUUCAAGUAAAGCGGGAAAAGGACGUUCUUGAGUUAAAGGUCAUACGGAUGGAAAAACUUUUGGACCACUGUUUAGGUCCUCAGUUUAAGCAGGAAGUAAGGAGGGACCUAGCUUUACUAACAAAGAGGACAAAUCGUUGUGUCAUCUCACAUCUAUUUAAGGGAAGUGAGGAAAUGGAUGACAUUCAAUGGGAUGAAGGGCCAUGUAACAGAAAUGAGGGAGAGGAAAAGGAAGAUGAAGGGAUUGAAGGGGGCGAAGGGCCAAGUAACAGAAAUGAAGGAGAGGAAAAGGAAGAGGAGGGGAUUGAAGGGGGUGAAGUGCAAGGAAAACCAAGUGAGGUAGAGGAAGCUCAAAGGAAAAGAAGUGAGGGAGAGCAAGUGAAAAUAAAAAGCAGCAAGGGAGAGGAAGCGUAAAGAAAGAGCAGUGAAGGAGAAGAAGUGAAAAGAAAAAGCAGUAAGGGAGAGGAACUGCAAAGAAAGAGCAGUGAGGGAGAGGAAGUGAAAAGAAAAAGCAGUAAGGGAGAGGAACUGCAAAGAAAAAGCAGUGAGGGAGACCUACGGGGAGAUGCUUACAUGCCAUGAUAUUGGUUGAACUUGGUUUAGGUACAUGAUGAUUAAAUAGGUUUUGGGAAUGUCCAAUUUCAAACUCAUGUAAAUACACAAUAGAGACAUACGAGUCCUUUUCGAAUUCUACCUCUGCUCCUCAAUUCUUCUUCGUCUUUCUCAAUCUUAGUGUAUUUUUGUUCAUAAUUUUAGGUUUAAGUUAUUGGACAAUAACAAUUAGAACCAAAAUAGUGGCAAAUAUUAUAGCGGAUGCAUGCUUUCAUUUCGAUUAGUGUGAUACUACGCUACGUUUAUUCUCAUAUUGUGCUAAAUGUAUAUGGAGCUGGAUGCAGAGCAUAGACAGAAAAAUGAAGAAUCUGAAAUGGAGAUGCUGAGGCUUGGUGAGGAGAAAAGUAAAUGGAUCUAUAAAUCUAUUGCAUGUAGGCAAUGUAAAUGGAUAGGCAGAUGAGUUUUUGAAGUUAGACACAUGUCAUUCCCAUACAUGGAAUGUGUCUAUGGAGUGUAAAGUUUUUUUGGGUUUAAUGAAACAAACAUCUGUGUAAUAUUAGCCUAACUCCUUCACGGCAUUUACAUAACUUUAACCAAACUGUAUUGAAUUGGGAUUUAAAGACUGCAUAUGUGAAUUGGGAUUUGAAGAAUGCAUAUGUGAAUGGGGACUGAUAGCUUUUUGAGUGUAUUACAUCAUUGCAAAGUGAUAUGUCAUCAUUUAUGCAAGCCACCAUUCCAAAUAUCAUAUCCCAAUCUUUAAGCCGUUCAACAUGCCUUGACUUAAUCGCAAUGGGUUGCAUCUUAAUAAGGUAAUUCUGUAAGGGGAAUAAGCGGCUAUGGCCUAGCCUCCAAUGUUUUAUUCAACCAUGCCCUCUUUAUAGAAACACAUGAAAAAAUGUCCCCAGGUGCAAUGCUAUAAAAACUCCCUAUUGGUUUCGUAUCGCCCAUCGGGUUUGAAUCCCUCUCUCUUUUAUAAUCGGUUAAUAAAUUCGUUGAUUUUCUUUAUUUUAUUGAUUUUGGGCAGCUCAGUAGAAUAAAAGUAAUGUAUAUUGGUGCAUCUAUAUUACAUGUAUGUUGCGUCUAUAUUGCUUCUCUAUUGCGUGCAUAUCUUACAUUUAUUGUAUGUGUAUUGAUUGUUUAUUGCUUACGAAGGAAAUAAACAACAAUAUUAUACAGGCAACAGACAAGCAAUAUACACACAACAGACAACAAUAUACACGCAAUAGAUAUGCAAUAUACACACAAUAGACAUGCAAUAUACAUCAGUCCCCAAUUACACCAACCAUAAGGAAGUCGUAUUGAAUAGGAAAUUAUACUUAACAGUUGUUCUUCCUACUAAAAGAAAGAAUAAGGUCCGUUUUCCCCCUUAAAUAUUACUUGAGUGGUACUUUUGCCCCCAAUAAACAUGUAAUAUUGGAGCACUAACAUGCGAUAUACAUGCAGCAAACAAUCAAUAAACAUUCAAUAUCAGGUUAAUAACAUGCGAAAUACAUGCAGUUAACAAUUAAUAAAUCUUCAAUAAACAUGUAAACAAUCAAUAAACCUUCAAUAAACAUUCAAUAUCGGUUCAAUAACAUGCGAAAUACAUGCAGUUAACAAUUAACAAACCUUCAAUAAACAUGUAAACAAUCAAUAAACCUUCAAUAAACAUUCAAUAUCGGUUCAAUAACAUGUGAAAUACAUACAGUUAACAAUCAAUAAACCUUCAAUAAACAUGUAAACAAUCAAUAAACCUUCAAUAAAUAUUCAAUAUCGGAGCAAUAACAUGCGAAAUACAUGCAGUAAACAAUCAAUAAACCUUCAAUAAACAUUCAAUAUCAUGCGAUUUAUAUGCAGUAAGCAAUCAAUAAACUUUAAUUAUACGCAAAUAAACAAUCAAUUUUCAAAAAAAAUGUAUUGUCUUAUUAUUGCAUCAUAUUGGCCCUGUAUUGCGAUUUUAUCGUCUUCGUAUGACUUUAUUUUUUUAAAGUAAGUCUUGGAAAGUUUUUGCUGGGUUUUAGACAAAUAAAUACUUCUGUUUAAAUUCAAUGUCAAUCCACCUAUUUCAAGAACAAAAAUUACAAAAUGGGUUUGAAAACUCAUUGGUGGUGCGUGUAACAUGUCUUUUUGGGGAGAAAUUCCACAAUCUUUGAAACCGUGCACUUAAUUAGUCAUUAAAAGAACAAAUAAUAUGACAAUUGAUACAACUAAUAAAACUAAUACCAAGUCCUUAAUGGACUUCAGCAUAUUCAGCACUGUAGCAUCAUACGUGUCAUAUUGCUGUUCUGCUUUAACGGAGGUUACAUCAACCCAUUCGAAUCCAUUGCAACUGGUGGCUCCCUAAUUGCAGACAUCAUAUAUGCAAAAUAAUUCUGUCAGAGUUAGACCUAGGUUAUUUUCACCCACAUACAUAUUCUUGAAAUGAAAACUUACAUAGGAGGUUAGACACUUCCGAAAUGGCUUCCCUCGAUUUUUAUCUGAUUUUGAAACCCGAAGCACCAUUGUAGCUCCACAAUACUGACACCUCUUUGUUUGAGCGGGAGAUGAAGACGAAGACAUGUUGAAUCUUCUCACUUGUACCUCUGCUCACUCAGAUCUUCUCACUGAAACCUCUUCAGACUUAUACUUUCUCACUCAUAGUUCUCAGUCAUACCCAUUCACUCAUAACCCUAAACUUCUCACUCAGCUCUCUCUCAUCUCUGCCCAAAUCGAAUUAUAUCCUUCUUUUUUGUGUGUGGGGGGGUUGGUCACGAUCUGGACACAUGUACCAUCAGAAUUAUGACACCUUUUACCCCGAAAAGCAGUAUAAUAUUUCACUACCAAAUAUUAAUCUGAAAAUUGAGGGGACACUGCUUGAAAUAUAUUAUUUUAUUUAUAUUUCAUUAAGGCAACUAGUUGGAUAAGAAUCCAUCAUCAUUGGUUCUAUUUUAAUAACAUUACUAGGGGUAGUUUGGUGUGAGAAAAUAAAAAAGUAUCUGAUGGGACCUUCUGUGACUAGUCAGUAAUCCAUCACAUUUGUAUCAAUGAAUUUGAUGGCGGGAAAAUCCUAAAAAUGGCUGUGCAAAUAGGUUAUUAAUUGACUUUUUGACUAUCUGACUCUCUUUGCAUUUUGAUGACGUUUUCCCUUCUUUUGUCUUGAGUUUUAGGGUGUUGGGUUUAGUUUCUUUUAAAAUGGUCAACUUGGAAAAACCCAAAGUGGAAACACCUUUUCAAAACACUACAAACAGAGGCUAAAACAAAACCAAAACCCCAUAUUUUCUCAUUUCUCCCCUCUUCCACUCCUCAAAUCGUUCCAUUCCAAAAACAUUUCAAUGAAUUCGAAACAUUUCACUACACUCGGAGGAAAGAGAAGGAAGCAUCUCCAUUUGGAUAUGCCCCAAGCCUUCAUCCCGGAGUUAGCUUGGUUUAAAGUGAUGUUAUACGUGGCAACCCAAUCAUCGGAAGAUCUCUUCCGUAUGGCAUCUAUGUGCCCAUUGUUCCAUACGUUGGCAAACACUCCACAAGUGUGGAACACCAUUUCAAUGGCAAAGUACCCAGACCAUCCUAGCUGGUACCAUGUCAAUCCUCGGUUCAGCAUUUCUUGCAACAAUGUAGGGCUUGCGAUAACCGUGAGUCGAUAUUUAGAGAAGCAUUCGAAGUGUUUUUCAUGCAAGGUAACGUGGAAGAGUUGUAUGGGAUGCGCAUUGUAGCCACGGCAGGCCAUAUGGAAGCGGCAUAUCUAGUUGGACUACUUGGCAUGUCUGGAAUUGGUCAGUCAAAAGAGGAUGCAUUAGAAUUCUUGUGUUCUUUGAAUCGACGUAACAACAUUGAUAUGAAAGGAACCAGGGAUGCUUUGAGACGAAGAUUAAGCCGAGUUUUCUCUGUUGCAAGACAUAUCGUAGAUAUGUUUUACUAUGGGAAGAUUAAGUUCAAUCACUGCAGUGCUUGUAACAACAACAAAUGGUGUUUUGUUAUUCAAGGCUGGCCUACUGAAGAAAAGAUAAAUCCUGCCUUCUGGACUUGUUGUAAUCAAUGCAAAUGGCACCGUGAGAGUAUUUUUUUGGUUCAAGGUGAUGUGUGUGUAUGUUGUGCCAGGAAAUCCAUACCCUUAUAAUUAGUUGUAGUAUGUUUUUAUGGUUUUUAUGCAUUGUGGACUUGCUUCUCUUCAGCUUUAGGUUGGCUGGCUACGUUGUACAAAUAUUGUUUAAAUGUUGGGUUUUAAUCUAUUUUGUCUGGUGUUUGUGCUGUCAUAAACCGUUUUAUGUAUAAAUGUAUAAUAUAUAUAUAUUAUAUAGUGGAAUGAUUACUGACAUCAUAAACGGCUAUAAAUGACAUUUUACUGACACAGAUAUUUUGCACAACUGCAAUCUUAAUAUUUGGUAAACGAAAAGGCAUGCAUGGAGUGAGUAGGUGUCUUUUCACCAGUGCUUGGGAAUGACAUUUUCUCACUUAGCAUAUUCCAAAUGAUUUGGUUACACAUUUCUUAAGCAAAACUUGAAUAGUGAAUGACUUUGAAUAAUUUUUUCCUGAUGUUGUAGAAUGGAUGGCUUGUAUAUUUCCAUUUUAUUUUUCAAAACAUCCCUUAAACCUAAAAAAGAAAAAAAAAAUAACAAAUUGAAGAAGAGAGAAAUUGAUUAGCACUAGAAAUGGUCUAUUCGCACGAAAAAUAAAAAUUUUAAAAAAAAUUGGAGUAAAUAUAAUUAACAAAUGUAUAGGCUAAAAAGUAAUAUAAUAAUAAUAAUAAUUUAGGAUAAAUAAUAAUAAGAUACUAAUAUAGCAUAACCAUGAAACAGGGAAUUCAGUAGUAAGAUGAAGUAUCAAUGAGUUCGUAGCAAUUUUCAGAACAUUAUUGUGAUUUUUGUGUAUUUAGUUAUGAAUUUUCCAAGAAAAAGUAAUAAAAUAAUAAUUUAUGGUAAAAGGCAAGGAUGUGGCCAUGUUGACUAACGUACACUUGUGCAAGUGGUGAAAGGUGACAGGCUGAGAUCGUGCCAGGUGUCCUCUUGCAAUUACUCUGGCUUUUUUAGUGCAAAAAUCUUUGAAAAAAAGGUAAUAAAUAGUAGGAAAAUCCUAAAAAUACUCCGAAAAUUACCCUAGCCUCCUUGUGACGUUAUAAAACUAGGGGAACCUAUAAAUUAUCCGUCUCGCAAUGAAAAAAUCCAAUUUGUUUUAGAUAACUCACUUUCUUUUUAACCCUAAGUAUUUAUGUUUGUUAACUUUAACUUCAAUAACCUACAUCAACAAGUAUCUCCCGUUAAUGUUUGGAAUUAUUUUUUAAAAUGCAUAACCAUGAAUCUGGGAAUUCAGCAAAGGAGAUGGAGUCUCAAUGAGUUCGUAGCAAUUUUCGGAUCAUUUUUCUAAUUUUUGUGUAUUUAGUUAUGAAUUUUCUGAAAAAAAUUAAUAAAAUAAUAAUUUAGGAUAAAAGGCAAGGAUGUGGCCAUGUUGACUGACAUACAUUUGUGCAAGUGGUGAAAGGUGAGGAGCUGAGAUUGCGCCAGGUGUCCUCUUGCAAUUAUUUUGGCUUUUUUAGUGCAAAAAUCUUUGAAAAAAGGUAAUUAAUAGUAGGAAAAUCCUAAAAAUGCCCGAAAAUUACCCCGGCCUCCUUGUGACAUUAUAAAACUAGGAGAACCUAUAAAUCAUCUAUUUCACAAUGAAAGAAUCCAAAUUGUUUUAGAUAACUCACUUUCAUCUUAACCCUAAGUAUAUAUAUUAACACUUUACCUUCAAUAACCUACUUCAACAAGCAUCUCCCGUUAAUGUCCGGAAUUAUUUUUUAAAAUGCGUAACCAUGAAUCGGGGAAUUCAACAAGGGAGAUGGAGUGUCAAUGAGUUCGUAGCAAUUUUUGGAUCAUUUUUCUAAUUUGUGUGUAUUUAGUUAUGAAUUUUCUAAGAAAAAGUAAUAAAAUAAUAAUUUAGGAUAAAAGGCAAGGAUGUGGCCAUGUUGACUGACGUACACUUGUGCAAGUGGUGAAAGGUGACGGGCUGAGAUCCCAGGUGUCCUCUUGCAAUUAUUUUGGCUUUUUUAGUGCAAAAAUCUUUGAAAAAAUGUAAUAAAUAAUAGGAAAAUCCUAAAAAUGCCCUGAAAAUUACUCCGACCUCCUUGUGAUGUUAUAAAACUAGGGGAACCUAUAAAUCAUCUGUUUCGCAAUGAAAAAAUCCAAAUUAUUUUUACAUAACUCACUUUCCUCUUAACCCUAAGUAUAUAUUUUUGUUCACUUUAACAAGUAUAUUUCCUUAAUAUUCGUUAUAUAACUUGUAAUAAUACAAGAAUUAGUUUCCUUUCAUACAUAAGGAUGUAAAAUUAUCUGUUUUGUUAAAAUAAUGUACAUAUAUAAUAAUUGCACAUGCUUUGAAGCCAUCAUUGCAACUGCGCCUAGAGCUUUGAACACGUCAGAGGUAUUCAAUAAGUUGUCCAUAUGACUCCGCAUUGGGAAUCAGUAAUAUAUUUUCUAUCAUGUCCAAUCACAUAAAAUAAUGCCAUACUUUUUCUGAAAAACCUCACACCAGUCAAGCAGUUUUAAAAUAUUAGUGAAUAUUUGUCCUAGUCUAUAUGAGUGAUUAUAUAUUCAGUCUGCAUUUUUUUUCACAGUAUAUGUUAACUUUGAGAGGGUUCCACAAACAUAUAAUAUAAAGAAAGAAAGCAAUAGUAGGAGAUGAACCAGUACAAAAAACAAUAUAUAAGUGGUACAUAAUAAUUCCAUAACCUUGUCACAAACGCACUCACAAAUGCUUUUCCAUAAACCUUGCCCUAACAUAUAAUAAAUAAAGUGUUAGUACGAAAAUCGUAUUGGCAUUUCCUAGGCUGUAGUAUAGGUUGAAAAUUAGUUUGUGAGGAAUUGCUACUGGAAGUUUUGGCACUACUCUUUCAAUCUCAUACCUCUGAGGCAUGAUUUGACCGAUAUGAGAAACUGAUUUCAAGUAACUCAUGACAUCAUCAUGCAUUCAUUAUAGGAUUCCUAAUUAGAGUUAUUUUCACUCAAAGUAUUUUUUAUCUUAAUCUUAUUUUUAAUAGGAUUAGAUUUUAUCUCUUAAUAUUACUUUCCUAGUUAAACUCUAUUUUGAUUUAGAUUAAAAAUAUUAUGUUUUCAUUAUCUUGGACUUGGAAAGUAUGUUUUAAUGAAUAUCCUAUUUGGUUCCGUGUUUACAUCUUGAUAUAUAUUGUUUCAUUGAAUAAACAAUUGAUUGAGUGCAACUGAGAAUAUGACGAAAUCAUAUAGGACUCUAUGACCAUCAAAUUAAAUGCAUGGCAAGAUAUUGAGUUGUGGUUGUGGGUCCUCUCGUGGAUUGUGGAGAAUAAGUUUUGUAUAAAUCAUUGUGUGCAUCUCUUAGGUUUGGACAGCUUUUGAUAUUUGUGAUGAGCAUAUAGAAUUCUUAAGCAAAAGCUGAUGUGCAUAUAUUUGAGAUAAAUCAUCAAGUGUUCUAUGUUUACUUGGUGAUUUAUCAAACACUUUAAUAAUUCAUAUUGCAUUCAUAUGCAUGUCGGUGACUCAUACGGUUGAGGGCACUAAAAUCGUGGUGGCGGUUUUCCUCCGGUGAGCUUGAAGCAAUCGUGGCCAGUAUUGCGUUCAACAUAAGGAGUGUCGAAGAUCAUCCCGUAACAGAAGUUGAGUCACGAAGAAGUCGGUAAACAUUAUAUCUAGAAUGAGUCUAGGAUAAGUGUGUGAGUACUUCUUGUAAUCAUUGUUCUAUAGUGGAUUUGAGUUGGACUAAGGAGUCCCGUGGAUUUUCCCCAGAGGUGGGAUUUUACCAUGUAAAAUAAUUCUCUGCGUGUUAUUUUAUUUUAAGCUUUGCACAUCUCAGGAUUGAUAACAUAUCAAUCCUGCUUCAAAGGUUGAUCAUUAUUUAUUGCAAAAAUUCGAAUUAGCUUGUUUAACUUUCUCCAGGCAUAUAUAGAUAUCCUACAGGUAUUUUCAAUUGGCAUCAGAGAAGGUUGCUGGACAUACUCAGCUAGAUCUAACAUACCUUAGGAUGGAUCGUGCCGCUGGUUCUGUUGCACACCCACCAUACUUCGAUGGCCACAACUAUGGUGCUUGGAAGGCUAAAAUGAAGUCCUUUCUUUGGUCCUUAGAUGAACGUGUAUGGUAUACAGUGGUUCAUGGAUUUUCUGAUCCCACAAAGAAGAUCGGAAAAGGAGAUGAAGAAACCACAGUUCUCAAAUCUAGAGAGGAGUGGACCACUGCAGAAGCCACACACAGUACCUAUAAUCAAAAGGGGUUAAAUGCUAUAUUUACUGCUGUCUCUUCCGAUCAAUUUGAAUAUAUAUAUCUAGUUGUGAUACUUCUAAGGAAGCUUGAGAUAUUUUGCAGGUCACCCAUGAAGGAACAGAUACUGUUAAGGGAGCCGAGCUUCAAAUGCACACUCUACAGUUUGAGACAAUCAUGAUGGAUGAGAAUGAAACCUUUUCUGAAUUUUAUGCCAAAGUUUACGUUAUUGUGAAUGCAUGUUCAAGUUUAGGUGAAAAAAUUCCAGAAGAUAGGGUGGUGAAAAAGAUUUUAAGGUCCUUGCCUCAACGUUUUCACCAAAAAUCACAGCCAUUGAAGAGAUUCGUAACCUGAAUACUAUGAAAGUUCGUGAACUCAUAGGGUCGCUUCAAACCUAUGAGAUGAAGCAUCUAGCUCCUAAGAAGAAUAAAAGCGUUGCUCUUAAAGUAGUUGAUAAAGAAGAUGGUGAACACCAAUCUGAAGAAUUCAAUUGGGAGGAAUUUGCUUAUCUUUCACGACAAUUCAAGAAGUUUUUCAAAUAUCAAAAUUCCAGAAGUCAUGAUUCAAGAAAUCACUCAGGUAUAAAUUCAAAAGUUAAACAUGGUGAUUAUACUGAUGGUAAUGUAAAAUCUCGCAAGUUCACUGAGAAGAAAACCACUAAAGAGAGAGUCAAGUGCUAUGAAUGCGAAGGAUAUGGACAUAUAUCCUCUGAAUGUGCCAACACACAAAAGAAGCAAAAUGGCAAAGCCAAAGCACUGAAUGUAACCUGGAGUGACUGUGAUUCAGAAUUAGAAAGUGAAGAAAAUACCAUUGCAUUAAUCACCACUGUCAGUUUGGAUAAGGCACAGCAAAUCAAUGGGAAUGAUGAAGAACCAAACAUUGGUUAUGUGCUGGAAAAGUAUGACGAUCUGCUAGCUGCUUCUCAGAAACUUAAUCAACACAACAAAGAGCUUGCCAAAAAGGUUGCUAUGCUGGAGCUCGAAAACAGUAGGAUUGCCAGGACAUUACAAUCCUCUGCUGCUGAACCAGAAUCAAUUGGUGAAGGUAUGUAUGAAAAAUUGGAAAUACUACAAAAAAAAUGCAUUGAUCAAAAUAAAUUGAUUGAUUCUUUGACUUCUAACAAACAAGUUCUUGAAAUUGAGCUUAAAAGUUCAAAGGAAAGGAUUAUUGCUUUGACAAUUGGUGCAGAAAAGAUUGACAAAAUGAUGAGCAUGGGUCGAAGAGAUGGAGACAAACGUGGCUUGGGUUUUGAUUCAGUAAACAAGCCUUCCGCUGUAUCCGUCACAAAGUUUGUCAAACCAUCACUUUCUACUGGUAUUUCCACCUCUCAAACACCUUGGAGAUUCAUACCUACGUGUCACUAUUGUGGAACUCUUGGACACAUCCGACCAAAAUGCAAACUGCUUCAACAGAUUUCAGUAAGUCAAAAACCCACUAAGGAGGGACAGGUAAGAAUUUAGCACAAGAUUUCUUAUCUUGUAAAAGAGGUAAGUAGGUUGUCAAAACUUUCUCGUUCCUUAUCUUUACCAACUUCAAAUCUAGUGUGGAGGAGAAAGGAUAAUCAAAACUGCUUGGUGGCAAUUUCAAACGAUACACAUCAAACUAAUGUUCCUGAAAUAUUAGAUGUGAAAUGUUUUGUUGCUUUUAUUGCUCUGUCUGACUCUAAAUCUAAAUCUUGGUAUUUUGAUAGUGGAUGUUCAAGACACAUGACCGGUGAGAAAUCAUAUUUUUUAGAAAUCUCUACAGAAGGCGUGAGUGGAAUGGUCACUUUUGGAGAUGGAAGAAAAUCCAAGAUUUUGGGCAAAGGAAGGAUUAUGGCAAUUGGUACACCUAACUUGGACAAUGUUUUAUUAGUUGAAAAUCUUCAAGCAAAUCUCAUCAGCGUAAGUCAACUUUGUGAUGAAAUGGGUGAGGUAAGUUUUACUAAAAUCCAAUAUAUUGUCAAUAAUCAAGAUGGAUCAAAUGUGAUGACUGGAAAUAGAUCACCCGACAAUUGUUAUUGUUUUUCCACUAAUGAAGUUUCUCAAGUUUGUUUUAGGACAAGUAAAGAUCAUCUUGAUUUAUGGCAUCAACGUUUGGGACAUAUGAAUUAUCAAGAUUUAAUUAAAUUGUCCAACUGUGAAUCUGUAAGAGGAUUGCCCAAUCUUUCAGGUAAACGUGAGGGUGUCUGUGAAGGGUGCCAACUGGGGAAGCAAACCAAAAACCCUCACAAAGCUACAACCUCAAUCUCUACUUCUAAAACUUUGGAACUGAUGCAUAUGGACUUAGUUGGUCCAAUACAAGUUGCUAGCUUAGGAGGAAAGAAAUAUAUCCUUGUCUUAGUAGAUGAUUUCUCACGUUUUACUUGGGUGCAUGAUAAGACAGAAGCUUUUAAUUCCUUCUAUGUUUUGUACAAGCUAAUCAUGAAUGAAAAAUAUGACAGUAACUCUUGUAUCAUGAGAGUUAGGACAGACCAUGGAACGGAAUUUGAAAAUCAAGCUUUCUCUAAAUUUUGUUCUGAAAAAGGAAUAAAACAUGAAUUUUCUGCUCUAAUCACUCCCCAACAAAAUGGGGUAGCUGAAAGGAAAAAUAGAGUCCUUCUUGACAUGGCUCGUGUCUUGUUGAAAAGUGCCAAUUUGACAGAUUAUUUUUGGGCUGAAGCCAUUUGUACUGCAUGCUAUACAUCUAACCGUGUGUUUUUCAGGCCACAUACCAAGAGCACUCCAUAUGAAAUCUGGAAAGGGAAGAAACCAAAUGUCAAGCGCUUAAGGACUUUUGGUAGUAAAUGCUACAUUUACAAAGACAGGGAGUAUCUUGGAAAAUUUGAUGCAAGAAGUGAUGUUGGAAUAUUUCCUGGAUAUUCUAUGAAUAGUCGAGCAUAUAUGGUGUUUAAUAGUCGCACUAAAAUAAUAAUGAAAUCAGCUAAUGUGGUUGUAAAUGACACUUUUAUAUUGUAGGUUGAACCAAGCAGUGAAGAUACAGAUCUAGAAAUUCACGAACCUGUAGAUGGUACUGGAAUUGAUUUUGAGGAUUGUAACCAGCAUUUCAAUCCUGUGAUACGCAGACCUGGUGCUAAACAAGUUCAGAAAGAUCACUCACCCUCUGAUGUUAUUGGAAAUGUUAAUGAUAAAAUGAGAACUCGACAACAAGUUUGUAAUGAGGUAACCAAUUUCUGCUAUGUAUCCUUUAUUGAACCUAAGAGUGUAGCAGAUGCUCUUGCAGAUAAUGACUGGAUUCUGGCUAUGCAAGAGGAAUUAAAUCAAUUCAAAAGAAAUGAUGUGUGGUACCUUGUUCCACGUCCCAAAGACACAAAUGUAAUUGGUACCAAGUGGAUCUUUCAAAAUAAGACAGAUGAGAAAGGGCAAAUCAUGCGCAACAAAGCUAGACUUGUUGCCCAAGGUUAUACUCAAAUUGAAGGUUUGGAUUUUGAUGAGACCUUUGCUCCGGUUGCGCGUUUAGAAUCUGUUCGAUUGUUGCUAUCCAUUGCAUGCUAUCUUCGGUUCAAGCUUUAUCAAAUGGAUGUCAAGAGUGCGUUUCUAAAUGGAGUUUUACAAGAGGAAGUCUAUGUGGAACAACCUGUAGGUUUUCAAGAUCCUAUCCAUCCCAAUCAUGUAUAUCGUCUGAAAAAGGCUCUCUAUGGACUCAAACAAGCCCCGAGAGCAUGGUAUGAUAGACUGUCCACACACCUUCUUCAAAAAGGGUACACACGUGGUAGCAUUGAUAAAACCCUCUUUGUCAAAAGAACCAAACAGGACUUAAUGGUUGCUCAAGUAUAUGUGGAUGAUAUUGUUUUUGGAUCUACUUCUGACCUACUUGUUAAAGAAUUUCAUGAGGUAAUGCAAACCGAAUUUGAGAUGAGCAUGUUUGGUGAACUAAAUUUUUUCCUUGGCUUACAGGUCCAACAAUUUAAUGGAGGCAUGUUCAUAUCUCAAACAAAGUAUGCCAAAAACCUAGAGUCCAAAUUUGGUCUGGAAUCUGCCAAACCCAUUCGGAAUCCUAUGAGCACAAGCACCAAACUUUCCAAGGAUUCAUCUGGCAAAAGUGUCGAUCAAAAACUAUACAGAAGCAUGAUUGGCAGUUUGUUAUAUUUGACUGCCAGUAGACCAGACAUCUCUUUCAGUGUUGGACUUUGUGCUCGCUUCCAAUCCGAUCCCAAAGAAUCACAUCUACUUGCUGUGAAAAGAAUUCUUCGCUAUGUAAGUGGCACUACAACCUUUGGUGUAUACUACUCAUUUGACUCAAAUGUUGAACUUGUAGGCUAUUCCGAUGCGGAUUGGGCAGGGCGCAUUGAUGAUAGGAAAAGCACAACUGGCGGAUGCUUUUACAUAGGCAACAACCUUGUUUCCUGGUUUAGCAAGAAGCAAAAUUGCGUCUCUCUCUCCACAGCUGAGGCCGAGUACAUAGCUGCUGGGAGCUGCUGCACACAGUUGUUAUGGAUGAAACAAAUGCUAAAUGACUAUGGCAUUCAUCAAGGUAAAAUGGUAACGUUUUGUGAUAACAUGAGUGCAAUUAAUAUCUCUAAAAAUCCAGUUCAACACUCUCGCACAAAACACAUUGAUAUUCGUCAUCAUUUUAUUCGUAAAUUGGUGGAAGAGAAUGUGCUCUCGCUUGAAUUUGUCUCUACUGAAAAACAAUUAGCUGAUAUUUUCACCAAACCUCUAGACAAUCUACGGUUUGAAACACUUCGACAGUCAUUAGGUAUCUGUGCUCUAGAUUAAUUCGAUGUCUACUGAAUACCAAAGCCUAUUAUAUGCUGCAUGAUAUUUAAAUUACUUUCUGCUUUCAUAAAUCUGUCCAGCUCGUGCAAGGAUUGUUAGGUCGUAUCAAUCCUUUAGUUGUCUGAACAUAUUUGUUGAUCUUAGAUUGGGCUCUGGUACUGCACUCCAUUGAGAACAUAGCUCAUAGCUUCUCACAAAGGUUUCCACUGUCUUGGUGCUUCAUAAACUUCAUUAAAUGAUCCAUCCAUCUAUUUAAUUUUAUUUGCACACCACACUCUUUUCCUUGAAGUCCCUUGAAUAUCUCUUCUCAGGCACUAGUCUCUCUUUGGAUUACCUGAACACUACUAUGCGUAAGUUCUUGAUCUGUUUACUUAAAAAAUAAAAAUAAAAAGGUGGUGACUUCUCAUUGCUCAGUAACCGGGCCUCUUGUCUAACCAACGUCGAGGUUCGAGUCAACAGGUUGUGAUGAUUUGCUAUCCUUGCUUAUCUUUGGAGCCUUCAUGAUUCGGAUCAGUAUUUCCCCAGGGGUGCUUUAUCACCCAGUUGCUUCCGGUCAUAUGCCGUGAGCACACUGAUUGACCAUCCGUUACAUGGAUCAUGUCGAAAGCUAAAUAAAGUAAGCCACCAAAACUUUAAAAAAAAAAAAACUGAUCUGCUUAUACUUACAGUGCACUCAGUGUUUGUGUCAUCUUUGGUGGGAUUAGUCUUGGGUGGACAUAUUUUUUGUGCUUAAUUGAACGGAGUUCACUUCACAUCUUUGCUUCUUGAUGGUGGACUCAUUUGAUGGUGUUCAUUUUUCACCAUGCUUGUGGUAUGCCUCAUUGAUUAUCAGUGAGUUUGUGUGUUAAAUGUGGUCACUUGCUUUUGCCUCUGCAUACUUUGCUUCUUAUGUGUUUCAGACAGCGAUGGGUCUGCUACUACCGUCUCUUCUUGCUCACAUACUUGGCAUGUUUAUGACUGGAAAAUAAUUACAUCUUCCAGAGCGCUUUGGGUCUGCAUAACAAGUGUGUUUUAUGUCUUGGGUGUUUUGAGUCUUCUGUCCUAAGUGUGUUGCUUUUGUUCUUGUUAUGUCCUAUUCUUUAUUUUAUUUAUACAUUUAAAAAAAAAAACUGACUCUAUGACAGCCACACGGUGCGUUUUACUUUGGGUGUUUAAGCUGUGCAGUUAGGUCGACUUCCUCGGUCACAUUUGGUCUCUCUUCCACCCCAUUGCCGUCUUCCAGAGUUUUUAGCAUUUGCUACUCUGUGUUUUGCUCCGUCGCGUCCCC